UUGCUCUACCCUAAUUACAGACUGCAGCUGGAUCAUACCUCUCACUUGGUCCCAGCAGAAUACUGUGGCAAUAGAGCUGGAAGUCAUAGUAAUUAGUCACAUUCUGACAAGAGCAAAAGAUGCAUUUGUUUGAAACCAUUAUUAUUUUUUUUUUUCCUUGAGGGAACACAAACUCUCAAACACAAACGGCAACAAAAUUCUCUGCAUAUGGGAGUUAGUUUAUUACCUCUGUGGAGACACUGAAUAUAAUAUUCACAGCACACUUUUGGAAAGAAACUCAAGAGUUGGCGACAAAAAAGGAACAGGAGAACUUCAGUGGCAGAUUGGGGCAUGGAUCUGUAGAUGACAUUUACUACUUCACCACCACAGCUUGUCAAUUCUCUUUGAAAUAAGAAAUGAUAAUUCAGACUAUACCCUGAUUACAGCAAGUAUUCAAUACACAGAGAAUUCAGCCUAAAUAAACGCAUGUGUUUGAUCGACCAUUUAGGACUCUAAGAAAGCAUUUUUCUCAGCUUCUUCCUAUGAAUAAGCUCUGUGAACUCAGAGAGCCUUGACUGUAAGUGCAAAGAUUUUGAAUCAAAAUGAGUUGCCCUUUAACGAUUAAACUGCAGGCUUAGACACAUGAAAUUCAACAGGUUUGAUUCCAAGUGCUUUCAUUCAGCUUUUACAUCUUCAUCACUAGAUUAAUAAUGAGCUGUUUCCUUUACUAUUGCUGUAACUCUAGGUGUCUAUGCAGAGAAACUGAAGCGCCCUAAUUAGCAGAUAAAGAAGCCAAUCUACCACGACAGAAAGUACUCUGCAGAACUACAAAUUAUGUACACAUUUGAAAUUAGCUUGAACAGUUGCACAUUUUUUUCCUUUGAACACUCACUUCAUGGCUGAUAACUCCAAGUGAAGGUGUAAUUUGCUAUGGAUCUUCUUGACAUGCAUUGGAGAGGUUCUUGACCUUGCUUGGCCAAGAUGAUCUUAUUGCUCUACCAGAGAAAGAUCCACUUUUUUUUGGAGAUGAUGGUGUUCAAGGCUCUUGUUGCAUAUGUGAAAUAAAAAGUGGCCCCUCUCAACCUUCACUGGCUGGCUUUUACUUGGUAAUUUAUCUCUCUCUCAUGCUUGAUAUUUUACUGAAUUCUUGAGAGCAUUGCUGACACACAAAGGUGUCAAAGUAAGGGUCAAAGAAAGUGAUGAAAUUGCCAAAAACACUAUCACUGAUAUCAACAUGCCCACAGAGAUGCCCAAUGUCAUGUACCAAACCCAAACAGCCUUCAGGCUUAAAGAAUUGAUUUUUCUUCUAUUAAAUAAUCCCUGCUUUUCCUAGUUACUCUUAUCUUUCUUAAACAUCUGUCAGACUGAGAAUAUCCAUGCACAGUAACACCCUUAUGGAAGUGUGAAAUAUUGAACUAUUCUUCCAUACAGACUGGCAUCAAUUAUGGUCUGAUUUGGAGUCAUUGUGAGCAUCCUUAACUUCCACUAAGUUCACUAGAGUUUUAUAAUGCUGAGUGUGAAUCAAAACCAAGGGGUAGAUUCAGAUGUCAACAGGCUUCACAGAAAUGCCUGUGAUCUCAAACCAUUCUCCACCUGUCCCUGAAACAGAGAAGGAACGACGCCUCUGAGAUCAUGAUGUACCUUUAGAAGAGUUUGGGAAAGAGCAGAGCCCAGCUACAAUCACAAACAAAACACCAAUCAGUGAACAAGACUGUUAGUCAAACUACUUAUCUUGCAUAGGAAUAUCCUAAAGAUCCCAACAGUACUAGGAAAAAAAAAAACAAAAAAAAAAACCCCAACAAAAACCUAGAAGUAUUUUCUAACAUUUUUCUUCUGAAAUUACUGCAACUAUACAGUUAUUUGUAGUCAAUACAGGCUUUUCAUUUUUAUUUUCUAAUCUUUUUGGUAAUGCACAGGAUAAAAAGAUUAUAGGCUGAACUGAUAGUUCAGUUGUAUGUAUUAUUCUGGUUGCUGAAUUCAUCCCUAGAUAGAACUUUUUAAAGUGCUUAUCACUUGCUAAUUUUUUUAAAGAGUCUGGGCUGGUAAUUCCUGUAACUCAAAUGCAACUUUUUAAAAAAUGGACUUCUUAAAAAUUUGAACUUGAAAUAAGUUGGUUAAAUUUGAGAAUGGUGCCAAAGUAGAAAACUCUAAGGUAGAGCUCCCAAACUGACACCAUUCACUUCAUAAUUUCAAUUCCUCAGAGUUAUGAGGUUAGAGAAUUUUUUAUCUCUUUCUUGGAUACAUCCUUUGUCCCUUAUGGAAAGGAAUCUAAACUUGGGAAAAUAACAAGCCAUUGAAAAGCCUUCUUCACAGAGCUUCAUGGAAGACAUGUUGGCAUUUGGCAUCUACAUUUACUGGAGUUUUUUGGGGGUUUUUUUUGUUUUUUUUUGGUUUUUUUUUCCUAUGUGCAAAAAAAACCCCCUACUUUCUCAAGUCCCAAAUGUGCCUACAAUGCUGCAGGCAGCUGAGCAGGACUUCCCCGGCACUCACUCCUCCCACCACAUGUCCAGGUUUUUUGUCUGCAAUUCCUAAUGGCUUUCAAACCCUUCCUUAACUCCCAAUUAACCACUUACUUGGCAGAUGUUCAAGCUCUAGGGAAAAUGAAAAAGCAAUUGUUUUAAAGACAAGAAAUUGAGGGGAAAGUCAGAAGAAAGGUCACAGGACCCAGAGUGAAAGGAGAAAAGAGAGAGAGAGAAGGCAAGAAUAAAAGCAGAGGAAUAUGCAUGCAGACACAGUAAAUGAGGACUAAAGAAAUCAGUGGCAGGCUAAAGCUGCAAAGUUUUGCAGAACAUGAAAAGAAAAGCCUACAACUACUAGACUCCCUGUUCUGGGACAAAACCAACUUUCCUUAGUCUCAGCAACCACCUGUGGAAUUGGUUCAACACGAGCAAAUCUCUGUCUUGUUCCAUGGUGAAAAAAAAAAGUCUCAUCAGAAUUCCCUGAACUAACACAUUCAAACAUUGUCAAGAGAGAUUAGAACCUGAUAAUCACAUAUUUUUGUCUAAAGUGCCUCUUUGAUUCAGUGCCCAAUAUAAGUACUGCCCAGUGGCUGAUCCCGCUAGCUAUACGUCUCCUUGAUAAGUAGAAAUUGGAAGAUGUUAAAUAACAGAGAUUAAUGGCGUUACUGAACAGUACCUAUGGAAUCAGAUCCUUGCUUCCAUCAUUAAGUUUCUAAAUGCAGCAAAGCCAACAACCCCCAAAUUUUCACAGCUAUCCACAAGCCUGUUUAUUCUGUAUUUGCAGGGUUAUGUGAGGCAUUUAGGGUUUGAUUUGAUGAAGUACAGAAAUGCCAGGAUUGCAAAUUAAGUCAUCUGUACCCAUGUUCUGAAAAUUACAAAAAUAAAACCAAAGUAAAGUAAAAAAACAAUACAGAUUAUAAAAUUCAAACAACUGUGCAUUUUUGACCAUUUGAAGUCUUAGCACCCCUUUGUCUCUGUUUUUCACAUGUGAAAUAAGCAUACAACAUUGUUGUGACAAAGUCAUUCUGUUUGGGUGCAUUUAUUACAGAAUAGCACUAUGGGACUCAGUUGAGGCUGCAAGAAUUUUCAUUCCACUAGUUCUAAUCAAAUUUCAAGCUGUAAUAAUCUUUUAGUAUAGCUGUUGAAAUGAAGUUUCUGAACACAUCAGCAUAUGGAACACAAAAAUCUGCCAUUAACCUUCACAAUCCAAGAACAUUAGAUAUACAUGUGUUCUAAUAAUGUCCCCUCAUAAGACCAUCAUUAUAUAUUCCUGGAACCUACAGACAAGAAUUUAGGAGAGUGCCUAAAAACAACAUGCCCCUUGCCAACAUUUUACCACUAGAAACCUAAAAAAUUUCACUCACUCCUUUUUGCAACAGGUUUCCACAUGUAUAUGAGACAUCACUACCUAACAUUUUCUAAACACUGCACAGUCGCUUCGGAGGCCUCAGAAUGGAAACAAAGUGAUUGUUUAUCUUUUGGCAAACUGAAUUUUAUACAAACCAACAUGCUUUCAGUACUGCUUAGGAGCAGAAAUAGGCUGAUGUAAUCUGAUUAGAAAUUUAAUGAGAUUAUGCAUGCACAAAUGGGCAUGAUUUCUACUUAACUGAGAAAAAAGAGAAAAAUAUCCAUCUUGCCACUAAAUCCUAUAAACGAAAAAUAAUAAAAAUUGUUUUUUUUCAUGUGCUGUUCCAAAAACUGAUAAGAAAUGAGAUCAUUUAUCCAGCUGCAACUUCUGCUAAAAACAAAAUGGCAACACAAUUAAUAGAUCCUUGAACUGUCAUAAACUGCAUAUACAAAUUGCCUUCAUAGCAGCAGCAUCUAGCAUUGCCUGCAUUCCACAAGAGCUGCGUGGAAGGACAAAUAACCCAAGAGCUCCAAAUUUAGCACUGCAUAAAUGACAAAAUGUCAGAGGUUGCAAGAAAAAAUUUCUUGCCCUGCCUUUACAGAGCAUCACCUGUGCAUGAGCAGGAAAUUAAUGAAUUUCCUCACCGUACUAAUGAAGGGAGAUGAAGGCGGAAUACACCUGCCCUUUGCUAAUCUCUUAGCCAGGGAGCACUGUUUCAAGUAACAGAAAAAGGACAAAAUGAGAAAGAGCUUCAGAAAAUCACUAGUCCUUUUCAGAGCAAUAAUCAGUGCCAAAAUGUGAUGAAAGAAAUCCUAGGGCUGGGGGGCAGGGGAAACAAUUAGCCACAUUUUUAAGUCACCUUAUGGUUUUCGUUAAUGACAAAAUCAGAAGAUUAAAAGUUGAGCUUGAUUUUCAUUCAAAUGUGAGACAAACAAAUGGGGAUCUAAACAACCAAAACUCAAGAUUUGAAAUAAAUACCAAAAUAAAACUUGACCUUCUUCAACAUCAAAAUUCCUCAGCUUGCUCAACAUCCAACUCCUUCUGCACUAAUGCCAUGGUCAAAACAUUUCCUUUAUCAAUGGUGGUCCUGAACACACAUUUUGACCCUGGAUUUAUUUUUCCUCAAAGUUUCAUUUUGUUUGCUUUUUAGAUUAAGUUUGACUUCAAUCCCAUAUAGAAAUAAGAGUUAGUCAUUAAUCUGAGAUUGCAUUAAGAUUAUUUAUAGAGGGUGGAUUUUUUUGGUUGUUUUAUUUAAGAUAUGUUUGCUCUACUACAAAUAGAUAACAACCCCUUCAGAGGAUACAGUGUCAAGCCCAAAAAUACAAUCUUUGAAAACGAAACCUUACUUUUUUUUAUUGAAGAUGGGUAAGGGAGGUAAAAAAAUACAAGAAACAACAGAACAUUGUGAUCAAUCAAGAUAAACUUGUGGGUUUUUUUUUUCUUCUGAGAGGCAUAUCAAACUGUAUGUUAAAAUCAGAGAAAUCAAAUCACUUUAAAAUGGACAUUUUAAAUAUACUUUUUAAAAUUAAUGUGCAAAUUCAGCUGGAACAUCAAGUAUACCCUACCUAAGGUGAUGAGAAAGAAAACUGCAAUCACACAUAGAACAUUAAUAUUCAGUCAGUAUGGUGACAAAAUAAUUCAUCAUAGCUAUAAAUUUAUUUAUCCAGUUAUAAAAUUAUUGUUACAACCACAGGCCACUAAAAGAUGAGACUGUUUUCAAGUCUGAACUCAGGCAGUAAGCCCCUUCUCUGGAACCACUUGCAUUGAUGAGCAAACUUUGCAUGAACCAGCAGCAUAUUUAAAGGCUGUGGCUAGACACUGGCUUUAGCUGACCACAGCUCAUCAAAAUUUGUGUUCCCUGUAACAGAAAGUAUUUUUUGAGUGGAAGAGACAGGUGAAGUCUGCAAUCUUCCUCACACAAUUCCACAAGCACUGGCAGCUAAGGAGCUUCUUCAGCUAUGGAAAAGCAAAUAUUUCCCACACUACUGCUGCUAGACAGAGCUGUUCAGUACAGCCUAAGACUUGGAACAUUCCUGGAUGGUACAUGGAGAUAUUUUGUACUUCUGACAAGAACUCCAGGAAAGAUUUUCAUUCAUGCUUUUUUAACUGAAAAAAUUUCAGCAUACUAAUUAAAAUACAAAGAGACUUGGAUGAGCCAAUAUUUGUCACUAGACUCAGAAAAUUAAAAAAAUUCUAAAAUUUAAAAAAACACCAACAUGACCUCUAUAAUCACAAUCUUGGUGUUUAUGGGAAGUACUACAGAUCAUAGAAGUCUGUGGCUUUAUGAAAAUUGUUUAAUAAUUAUUGCAUAAUCCCCUUCAUUAAUACGCAAUUAACAAUCUCAUACAGCUGCUACCAAAAAACUGCUGACACUUCCACUAACUAUGGAUAUGAUGUUAUUAUCUUUCGAAGUGUCUCUGAGAUGGCAGAUCACUUAGAAUGUCAAUAUAUCAUAAUUAGGUAUUGAUAUCCUGAACUGCAUAAUGACACGAUAACUAAAGAUAGGCAAAGAAAAGUACCAGUUGUGCCAAAAAAUUUUAUUACCUACUCAGUAUUUUAAUCUCCCAGGAAUCUUCUAAACUUCUGAAAUCAUCACAGUACUUUAAACACGGCAGACAUGACAUUAAGUAAAGAAGGAUGCAUGUAGAUACCUUGCAGUUUACUACUGCUGUCCUCUUAUUUAAUAUAAAAUAUGAACAUUGCACCUUUCCGUCAGUUUGAAGUAUUACACUGUUCAAAGCUGUUGGAUUUCUAUUUCCAAAUGAUAUCAUUGCGCAUUUACAGUGUAGAAGGUAAGCUAUUUAGAACCUAAAAGCUAUUUUACAUCAGCUUUAUUUCUAAAAUUGCUUUUAGUUUGAGUUGAUAUAGAAAAAAGUAAUUGUUAUAACAAUGGACAGUCCCAACCCAAAAUAUAUCUUAAGUUUGAUUCCUCUUUGUGGAAGGGCACCAGAUGUUCAGCAAAUAGUCCACACAAGUCUUGUAUACAGAAAGAGGCUCUUUAAAGCACAAGUAUGAGCCAACAGUUCUCCUGAUCUUUUACUAGUGGGAAGUAGUAUAAAAAAAUUUUCUUUUUGUAUCAGCUCCCAGGACCACACCAGAAAGCACACUGAUAUUGUCCACUGCCUUUGCUGAAUGGGGAUGGCUUCCAGGGCUAGCUUUGAACUCUUCCUCCAAAGACUGUAGUCAUUCCUCUGGCUGGGCUCAUUUAUCAUGCAAUUACACUGCAAGCCACUGGCAAUAUUCAAGAAGGUCAUUAGGCCAGAAUCUACAGGCUUCCCAGGAUACUUUCAGCUUAAUCCAUCUGCAUGUGACAAUACAACUUCCAGGGAACAAAAAAAAAAAAUCUACAUUCUGCUAAAUCACUGCAGAUCAUCUGUCUGCAGCUCCCAGAAACAGUACAAGCAAACACUUUGUCUUGCAGACCAACAAUUGUCAGAGCAAGGUGUGAGUUUUAUAGAAAGCAUGUCCACUUAUUUUUUUUUUAUUAUCAUGAGCAGAGGAAUAUAGAAUUUGCCUGCAUUUAUCACUUUUUCUGGGAACCCCAGAUACCCCCACAUGUCAACACAAUGGAGUAAAAAUAUAAAUCUCUAUAUAUUCAAUUUUCUGAAGACUUCUGAAAGCUCUACCAAAAAUUGCACUUUUACUUGACCACAAAUCAUAUAAUACAAAUAUAAAACAGUGUCCCAAAAAAAUGCAUUUUGUAAUAAAAAACUUCCUCUAUUUAAAUGAAUUACUUGCCAAUUUGUGUUACUUGCUGAGUUUAAAACCUAGUUAAAAGCUUAGGUAAUUUUCUAAUGUCCUUUCUAAUGUUCUGCUUCCUCAGCUCAUUCUUUUAAUACAAGUCUCAGUGCAAGAAAAACAAUUAACUGGUUUUCCCUCCAGUUUGUUCCUCUUCUGACGCUCUUGCCUUCUCCUCUUCUUGUGAAGUAUUUGUCAAACUGUAUGUGCUUUGCUAAAUUACUUGAGCUCUGAAUAUCUUCUGAGAUUUAUCACAAGAGCUGAUACUUCAACUAAAAACUUUAAUGGCACACUUACAUUGGAGAUAAUUUCAUUGAGGGUAAUUCAGUAACACCAAUCAGAUCUAAAAAAAGGGUGGGAAAAGAAAAAAUGAAACUAGCAAGUAAUGUACGAAUGAUACACUCUAACAGAACAACUUUCAUUAAUUCAAAUUUCUAAUUAACUACAGAGUGCUUGCAAAUCACAGAGGAUGAACACCUACAAAUCAAGAAAAAAGAAAAAAGCCACAUGGAGACCACCAUUAGGCUGUGUACUCUGACUUAAUAAACUAUAUGCAGAUGUUUCUGUGUGCGUAGGAACCCAAACUGGAAGGUCAAAUACGACCAAAGCUUUGGAUUCUCAUUUAUCAUUUUUCAUGUCUGCAUUAAUUUUCAUCUCUGAAUUAUGCCUGUGUGUUUACAGUAAGUUAUGCAGAAUGAUUUCCAAGUUGAGACAAGCUCAGCAGCAUCCCUGCUGGUUUUGCCAGAGGCAGGCUUUGUUCUGGCUCACCUGGCAGAGCUGUACGCAUUCCUGCGCCUCAGGAAAACUGCGUCUCUCACCUCCACUAUGGCAAUGGGAAUAUGGAACACUGUGGAGUUUGUGAAGGAUACUGUAACCCAAAUUAGUAAAUGGUCAAUCACUCCUUACUAAUCAUCCAAAAAGGGCUUAGAAUAAAAUUUUCUAUUAUUGCUUUGUUUUGUUAACUGUAGUUUAAAUUUUACCAAGUGUUUUCUUCCCCUCUUGCACUGCCUAAAAGCAAAACUACUAACAUGCAGUCCUGACUUAUUUAAAAUUCAAAAUAUGAAAAGGUAUAAUGCUCAGAAACACAAAGUGGCCUAAGGAGAGAAUAAAACUGCAUUGCCUGAGCACAGAAAACAUCCAAAGCCACUACAAAAGCAACACAUCUCAUAACACACAACAAACAUACAGCACAGGCUCCUCUUCCUACAUCCACCAGAGAAUGACAGUGGACAGUAAUACUUCCACUCAACUCUUAGAGAAUCCCCUGCACGGAUGCAUUCUUCUUCCUUCCUUUCUGGAGGGACUUUGGCAAAAGACACAGCAGCUGGCCCUAGGACCUAAAACUAGAAGCAUCAAUGAAGCUUUACAGUACCCCUACUAAUUUCUGAUAUCACAGGAAGAGGUGCACAGUCUCACCCUGGGAUGUUCCUGCCCACAUAAUGGCAUAGGAAUACUUGUAAAUAGUGAUUUUUUCAUAUAAUAACUGAUGUUUUAUUUAGAGAACUGAAAUCAUAUACUCUUAGGAACUACAAACUCCAUAUGAUAAGAAGUGAACAGCUGUAUUUUCCCCAAGGGAACAGAAAGUUGAUGUGUCCUAAAAUGAAUAAAGCAUCCAGCUGUUAAGACUACGGAUGAUUUAAUCCCAUUUUAGUUAUUUUUUUAAACCUCAAGAGAGAAUGUGUGGCAGACUGAUUUGCAACGAGGUUAACUUCACAAACCUGGGUGAUCCCUUUUCUCUGUAACUCUUCUGGAAGUGCCUUCCACACACAGACACACACCCCAGGGGCUUCGCUGCCUGUGUAACAAGGACCCUGGCUCUGAUAUCACCCAGCUGUACUGCACUGACUCAGAUGGCUAAAAAAAGACCUUUAAGAAUCAUAGAAUGGUCUGGAUUGGAAGGGACAUUAAAGACCAUCUAGUUCCAGCCUUUCUGCCAUGGGCAGGGAAACCUUCCAAUAGACCAGGGUGCUCAGAGCUUAAUCCAAGCUGGCCUUGAACACUUCCAGGGAUGGGUCAUCCACAACCUCUCUGAGCAACCUAUUCGGUACAAUACCACCCUCACAGUAAAGAAUCUUUUAUUAACACUUAAUUGAAACCUAUUCUCUUCCAGAUUGAAAACAUUCCCCUUUGUCAUGUCACUACAUGGUCUUGUAAAAUGCCCCUCCAUCUUUCUUGUAGGCUUCCCUCUGGUACUGGAAGGCUACAACUAAGUCAAACCAAAACCUCCUCUUUCCCAGGCUGAACAAUCCCAAUUCUCUCAGCCUUCCGUCAUAGGAAAUGUGCUCCAUCUCUCUGAUCAUCUUAGUGACUCCUCCUCUGGACCCAAUCCAUCAGGUCCAUGUCCUUCCUGUGUUGGGACCCCAGAGCUGAUGCAGGGUUCCAGGUGGAGUCUCAGAAGAGCAGAGGGGCAGAAUCCCCUCCCUCCCCUAACUGCCCACACUGCUUUGGAUAAGCCCAGGACAUGUUUGGCUUUCUGGGCUGUGAGUGCCCGUUGCCAGCUCAUGCCCAGCCUCCCAUCCCCCAGCACAGACUCCUUCUCAGGACACAAAAUAGCUUAAUCUGGAAAGGCAAGAGGUGAAGGUCCAUUAUGUUCUUAGUAAAUACAGCACAGUUCCUGGUUUACUUUCUUGACAUGGACCCUGGAUUUUCAGCACCCACACUGCACAGGAGCCCCUUGGGAGGCAGCUGCAGAUAUCACAAGGUGAGUACUCGUUUCUCCUGGGACCUUGUUGAAUCGUUGAAUAUGUAAAUGAGUAUUCAUGAGAACCGGUAACUGAAUCUUGAUCUCCCACAUCAUGAGCAACUGCUGUAAACAGCUCAAGAAAAUCAUGUCUCUUUCCACAGCCUUAGCUGUUCCUUUAUAUGUAAAUAGUUAGAAAGGAAUUUUUAAAAGCUUUAUCAGAAUAUUGUUAUCAAUUUCAAGUCAGUGCCUCUUCUCUCCCCUGCAGGACUGGAGCUCAUCAUUGGUACUGUCUCUUUGGUUAACUCACUUGUAACGGAUUCAUUUAGUGUCUAGAGCCCAUGGAAAGUUUUUGUGGUGAAGAAAGGAGGAAGAAAGAAGGUUUAUGUAGGCAAUGAUAGAAGAGAUCUUGUAGCCGAAACUUUAAAAGCUUUCUAUGGAUAUGCAUGUUCCAAUCACUGUUAAUUCUCACAGCAUCUUAAGGAAAAUAUUCAUGCAGACUCUUUGGAAAAGCAUAUUCUAAUCAUCUAGACAUGCAGUUUGCACCACUUAGUGAAGCUCAGAUGAGAAACAGUGCUGAGAUGAGCAAGGAAAUGGACUAGAAGUUACUUUCUGAUUUAUCCAUAUGUUUUCUGUGCAAGCUAGACUUGCAUUUAAGUCUGGACAUAAAUUUACAUUUUCCCUUUUAUAGGUUGCAAAUUUAAGCACAGGAUAUAGUAAGACAUUUUCUGUAGCCUAUAUAUUAGCCCUGCCAAAGGAGAACAUAUCUCAUAAAGAUCAGGAAAACAACAGCAUUCAGCAGUAUAAUAUCACUCAGUUUUAUGGUGAUGAAAAGGUAAGUUAGAUCACAAUAUAGAUGAUGGGAUUUUAACAAAUAAUAUUUGAAUGUACAAUAAUGGACUAACAACAGGAUUCCUCUCAAAUCCUUACGACAUUAUUGGUAGUACUUAUUAGUAAAAGGCAUUGGUAAGAUGUGGUUACAUCUUUAUACUUAAGAGCUUAAUGCAAGUGACAUGGAAAGCACUAUUUAAGGUUACUAAGAUCAAUACCCUAAUAAAUCAAUGUACUCUUAUCUGCUUUUAAAGUAAAUGAAAUGACAUUUCAAUCUUUUCUUCUUCAUAUAUGUUUGUACUCAGCAUGCAGCAUUUGAUUUGCUGUCUAGCAGUUGGCUCUGUAGGAGUAUUUAUUAUCUGUUUAGCUGAUAGUAAACUAUUGCCCACUUUUAUUUCCCAAGCACACCUCAGCCAUUGUCAUUCCCUCCAACAAGCAGAUGGAACCUCUUCAACUGACACAGUCAGCACUCACCUCAAGACCACCUGGUAAAGGAUGCUUUGGAACACACCCAGUUCUACCCCUCAGGAAACAGCUGCAGGUUAAACUGGAGUACAUCAGUGACAGUAAGAGGCAAUUAUUGCUGCAAAGUUCUGAGUUUGAAACUCACAGUUCUACAGGGUGAGAGGCAGCCCAAGUGUCAGGCCAGAGUCAGGCACUGUUCAGCACAGGAUGGCUCCAGCAGGCUUUCUCCUGAGGCACAUCCAGAUGGCAAGCUAUAAACCAGCCUACCCUACGAGCCAGUCAGGGUCCUUGAAUAAAAUCCUCAGACAGACCUCCCUCAGAGCAGGCCAUGGGCAACCAAGGCUUCAUCUGAAAAGACUUCGGCGAGUGAGUCUUUUGGGUGUCACAAAGCCACUCACAUUCUAAGACACACUGUCAGCUACCAUGAUUACAAAUCACAGCUGGUUUAUGUGAUCAGUAAGGUAUACCUGACUAAUGGAUAUUCCUUGAUGAGGUUCAGAAUUGACAGGAAUUCUCAGGAUCCUACCAGCUGAGCCGCAGAGUAAUUUGCUUUUCUGACUCCUUUCAGUAAAUCUACCCAGUCACUAUACAAUUUCUUCAUGUUACGUAUCUGAGUAAUAACUGCUAAUUUCCCAUAAUUGAGUCCUGUAUCUUCUUAAGAGUUGCUGUUCCAUUAAUGUCUUUUCCCAAGCAAACUCAAAAAUCAGUCUAUGAAAUAGCUACCAGUCAUGAGGGUGUUAACGGUUAAUAUAAAAGGAAAUUUUAGAAUGGAAAUACUCAUUUGUGGUACCUUUUGAAACACAGUUUCAUGCUGAAAAGUCAUAUCCAUACUACAAAAGACUUUUAUGUGCUACAAAACACCAACCAAACAAAACAUUUAUUUUUUUUCUUCUUAUCCUUUGUCCUCACCUCAUUUUUGGACUUUUUUGCUAUAAAGUUUCAGUUACCUAUACAGCUACACAUAAUCUAUUACCAAGAUACAUAUCACUGACAUUUGUACACUUUAUCAGUGGCACAAAAAGGAUGCUUAGUCUAGGGAGAAGCAGCACCUGCAGGACCCUGCUGUGUCUUUAGAGGUUUUUAACUAACCUGACCUGUGAUACUGAUACACUUUGAACAAAAGUGUAACUUGUAAAUAUCUAUCUCCUGUAAGUAAGCACCUUUCAGCAGAACAAUGACAGUCCAUAUUUCAAUCAUAUUUUAGCUGUAAAAAAUGAACCCAGAAAAUGUCAAAAGCCUGAAAACAUUUGAAUCCAUCUCUUUAUGGCAUCAACAUUACCACAUGUAAUUCUCCUGUACAUGGAUUCCAUAUGUCAUUUGAACCAACUUUUGUGAAAGCCACAUGACAAACUAGGCCUUACCUAAAUAUUGAAGUUAUUUCAUCAGAACAACCUCAUCUCACCUCAAGACAUUUGGAUAAACUUACAAGAAAAAAAAAUUAGACAAGAAGUAAGCACACAGCUGAACAAUAAGGAAUACUAUAAUGUCAGUCCCUCUGUUCUCCCUGCUCUGAAUCUGUCAAUCAGAGAUGUCUGGUCUGUCACAUAAAAUGGAACACAACUCAAUUGGUCUCUGUUUACAAGACACAGACUGUGAUAUUAUUCAGUGCAGACUGUGAUAUUAUCCAUAUUUUAAAGCCUAUGUAGGGAAAAAUAUUUGAAAGCCUUGAGAUUUUUUUAAGGCUUUUGUGACAACAUCUAGAAAUAAAAAUAUAAAGGGAGCAUAGAAUUUUUCACAGCCUAUUUUAAGGUGAACAAGAAAAAUUUUAAACUAUCUAAGCUUGGGAAGUACCAAGUUAAAAAAAAUGUAAUGAUUUGUGUGACCAUUUGGAGCAGUUAGAUUCUGCUAAGGAUAACCUAAGAAAGGUUUGUGUGACACUGCAUAUUAAAAUACAAAAUCUUGAUGCCAUGUAUGUGGUAGUGCUCAUGUAAUUUGAAAAGCAGAGUGUUUUCUUAAUAAGAGAAAAAAACUUAAUGUCCAACAAGUAAAUAACUGUUUCACUGUUCCAUGCAGAACGUGGUACUUCCGUACAUAAAUUCACAAACUGCACUCAGCUCACAGCAUCUCAGCAAAGUAGAGAGAGCAGUGACAAUAAAUGAGACACUUGAAGAACAGAAGAAAAAAUCAUUAUUGCAUUUUUAUAAACAUAAUUAUUUAGCGAGGUCCCAAAACCCUAAAUUACAUGACAAGGCCCCACGGGAAGUCUUUAGCAAACCUGAGAUGUUAACACGGACACAUCAAAUUUCAGUUUGGUACUCUGCCAUGUGUAACUUCCCUAUCUCUUAGUUUAUACCUGUGCAGACCUUGAUAAAAGUAGUUUAAAUUAAGAGGAAAUGCAAAAACCAUACACUAAACGGUUCAGCCUGAACAGAGUAUUAGACAGAGCUUAUCUUGCUUCGCUUGAAUAGCCCUUUUCUUCUGCUUUAAAACACCUGUUUCAAAGACAGUCUAUUUCCACUGUAACCAAUAGGAUCAGGAAGGGGUAUUAUUAAAUAACUCUAAGCAUGGAAAAAAAUACAAUCAUACAUUACUCAGCCUGCCUGAGCUGAUAAUGUUAGCUCCUUGUUUAAACAGGCAGACAGAAAGAACUUCUCAUACUUGUUAUUCAUUGGGAAAAAGAGAAGAAUGCUAACUUGUGCCAGAUCUUUUUAAGUGUUAUGAAUUUACAUCAGCUCAGAAGUACAGGCAUCUGAACACUGAAUUUUAAAGUGGGUUAGAUUUUUCUUCUGUUCCUUAAAAGGCUUCUUCCUCACUAUGAAAAUAUGUCACAGAGGAAAAAUGAAAAUAAAACAGACUGACUUUUGUAAUCCAGUAUGCGUGACAGUUAAAUCUUCAUGAUGAAAGCUGCAAACUGGUGUUUGCUUAUGUUUAAAUGACUUAUAGGUCUUGUCUAUGAACAACAUCAGUUCUGAUAAUUCUGAGACAGAAAAGUUACCUAGUUGAAAUGACAGAUACUGAGAUGUUCCUUAUCUCUUCUCCCAUUCAUUCUUGAAAAUAAAGUACUUUUUAUCUUUUUCCCCUGUCACAAAAAAAAGUUUGUCUAUUGUUUACUCUGCAGUUCCUUCUGUAAUCAAUAUCAAAGAUACAGUAUGUCAGCCACAUGAAGAGAUCCAGCCUCUUUGAGAAUGACAGUGUUUAAAACCUUAUAUAUAUAUAUAUAUAUAUAUAUAUAUAUAUAUAUAUAUAUACACAAAAUAAUGCUGUUUUUUAGCUGGCACAUUCGCUGUGAACAUUAACAAGGUAAACAGUAGUGUGGAUAAUGGAUGAUGUAAAAAAAUCACAUACUUUGCUCCAAAACCACCUACAGAGCCAAAAAGAAAACUGGGAACUGAAAUCAAUGGAAGAACUAAGAAAUGCACUCAAAAACGCUAAUCAAACACUGAAUGCAACAUGUGACAAGGUUAAAACAAGAUUUGGUUCUACAGAAACAUAACAGCACAACAGUGGAUUUUUUGUUUUGUUUGGGUUUAUUUUUGACUGGUAUAUGAAGAAUUUCUACUUGAAAAAAAAUUUCUAGGUAAUAUAGAGAAUACAGCUCCCAAAGAAAAGCACUGUUGUGUCGCUGAGAGUUUCUGUAGUUUUAGUGGUUUAGUUUCACCUAUUACAAAAGCAGUUCAUAAUGAUAAAACAAAAUGCAGGCAUACAUAAUAGAAACCUUCUGUGUUUUUUAAUAGCCUGAAUAGUACCAGGCUUCAGCCCACUUUCUUGGGAAAAAGGGCAUGGCAGGCAGGAAUCCUUUCUGCACAUUGCUUGCAUGACAGAAGAUGGAAACUGCAUUAUGCCGGCUGUUUUGCUUGGGAAUGAAUCAAUAUUGGCAGAAGGGUCAGACCAAUACACUGAGCUGAUAUUUACUCUCCUGUCAUUCUCCUCUCCUCCCUCAUGCAGCCAGACCAAGUAAAGCCAGUGAAUCACAGUGAACAUAUCCGUGAGGCUGAUGUCACCAGACGACAACUCAGAGCCAAAGCAGGUGCUAAAGUAGCGCUGCUCACCCUGGAAGGUGCCUUCAGCUGUGUCCCUCUCCCUCCCAUUCCCACACUUACCCAGGCUAAAGGAGCCUCCAUCUGUUCCAUUUUCAGAUGAUCUAAUUUCUGAGAUCAUAAGUUAGGGCAAAUAAGGCUGACAGGUGAUAUAAAAGCACAGAUUUUUUUUUUUCUUCUUAAAUUGCCUUUUUUUAAAAUUACUGUAGUGUGAGGGUUACACAUUUUGUUGAUCUGUUAUGUUUCUAUUUAGAAUAUUUUUAUGUAUUUAUUUAAUGGCCUGAGGCCAACAACAGAGGAGACUGUAAGCAAACAUAACACCCACAAACAAAAAUACGCAACCUGUGUUGCAAAAGCUCAGUAACCCUUUCAGAAGCAUUUUGGUGUCAGGUGAUAUUUUAUGGCCAUUUUACAAAAUAUGAUAGCACCCGGAUGCUGCAGGGUGCCAGAGACAGCAACCCCAGAUGUUUGCUAACAGUGUUUUCAACACUGCACUGUUUGUGCAGUGUUGAAAGCUUGUUGUUUCCACAGCUGCCCAGUAAACAUGUUCAGCAGAUAAUCUCCCUGCAGAAGUUUGCUGCUGUGGCAACCUGUUGGAACACCAGGAAUGCUGAAGUGACCACAGGUGUAUGAGCACACAAUACACAAAGGUUCAUGAAUUGCUAAGGUUAGAAAUGACCUCUUGGAUCAUUGAGUCCAACCAUUCUCCACUUCCAGGUGAGCCAAUGCCACACAGGGAUAAUUAGUGGAUGUAUUCAUAAUAUCUACAUUUGUACAGAUCAGAAACCAAAUCACAGGCUAUGAAGAUGCCUAAAACUUAAAACAAAAGCAAACCAAAACCAGAAGUGGUGUUUUAAACCAAAAAAUGAGUCCCAACUUUCUACUGCUAUUCUGUUAUUUAAGGCAGUUCCUUUCAGGCAGCAGAACAGACUUUAAUCUGGAAUUCAGCAGCAUGACUCCUUUCUUGCUCACAUUUUUGUUCUGUAUUUAUUUAAUCAAUAGAUUCAUUUUAUGUAACAAAACACAAUCUGGAUUUUUAAUCAAGCUGAUUUAAGUCCCCAAUUUAAAUUAUAAGCAGAUAAACCAUCAUAACCAGUGAAAAUUAGAGGAAGCAUAAAAGCUUAAUCUGACUAAUUUUCUUCCUAAACCAAAAAUAUUAUCUUUUCUAUUUUAUCUUGCAUUGUACCAGCCUCAACAUCUGUACACCCAGGAAAUACUUUCACGUCAAUAUUUUAACAACAUUAAAAUCUUGCCUAAUUAUAGCAGCAAAGAUCAGUUUUUCCCUGAAUUGUAUUACCAAAAAUGUUUCUCAAACAUCGCUACCAAAUGGCUUGUUCAAAGCUCUACAGAAAGGGCACUGCUCAUUGAGAAACAGUGUCAGAUCUUUGCUGUCAGAAUUAUCCACAGGGGACACAUUCUGUCAUCUCAUAAUGUUUCUAAACCUUUUGAAUCACUUCUGUGGUCUCAUAAAGAUUUCCCAUGAUACCCUGUAAACAAAAGGUCAGAUCUGCAUUUACCCAGGUUCCACAGUUAUGGGAGAUUUAUCACUGCAUUAUCUGAAGAUAUGGCAUGGGCAAGCAAGCUGGAGCACUGUAUUUCAUUUUAAGCAGACGAGGCCUCCAGCUCUUACUUUGUCUUUUUUGAUGUUCUUUUUUUCCCCCUCUUAGCAGAACCAAAACCAAAGCUCAACAGAACAUUUUGGCUUGUCUUCCAGGUCACCGAAACCACUCAAUUAAAUAAUUAGGAGAUAAAAUAAGCUAUUCAUAUAAAAGAAGCACCAACAAGAAAUUUUGAUUCCUUUGCUAGGUUUGGCUGAUAAGCAGUCUUGAAGUAAACAAGCGACCUGGAGAUACAUUUUUGGCACAGAAAUUAGUCCUGAUUAUCAAGCAUUGAAGGAACAGUAACAGUUUACACAUCCUAAGUGAGCCUGGAGAAGCUUUAUAUAAUACAGUACAGUUAUUAUAAAUCAAAUAGCAAUGAAACAACAUUUGCUUCCCAUUUGUUUACUUUGGGCAUUUGACAGAACUUUCUGUGCAGAUUUUUUUUCUCUGCAGUGUCAAUUCUCUCUACUGUCUCCAAUCAGACAGCACCAGGCACAACCAGAAGACUAGAAGCUAUUUUAAAGUUUUUGCUUCCAUCCCUCUCUUUGCUUCCCUUAAUUAGCUAGGCUCAUGUCCACGUUUUCCCUUUAAGCUAGAAAUUGCCUGAGCUCUUAGUGUGAGGUUUUAGCAACAGAUGGUACACUUCCCUCUGAGUUAAUUCUGAACCAGUAUCUCAGGGUUGAGAUUGCUAGAGGUGUUAUCUUUCAGCAGAGAUCCUGAUUUUAUAAUCAUUACCCAUCCAAAGCCUGCUUUAAAAAAAAAAAAAAAAAGUUGUCAAGCUCUGCUGUGGCAUUAUUCUAUGUCAAACAGCUGCUUCAAUGCAUCUAAGAGAAAUACGCCACCAGAAUGCUGAGUGAAAUAGGGUACCGAAUGCAGAGUUGUUCACUAUUUGCUAUUGAGUAAAAUGCCCUCUCUCUCAAGCUCUCACACAAAUGACACUCACAUUUCUGCACGUUCUUGCCAACACAACAGCUUUCUCCUACCUGGGUGAAGGCAAAAGUAAUAAAAUAAAACCAGAAUAAAGGUGGAUAGAAGGUUAGGACAAUUUGAUAAACUUAAAAGGGGAAUAGGACAUAGUCCUUGGCCAAUACAGAUGGGGAGUGCAGAGUAAGGAAUCCAUGGAAGGCUGAGAAGAUGAGUAAAACUGCGCAAGAAUGAGAGCAGCAAUGGCAAGGGCAGAGAAGACAAAAUGGCCAGUCAGGAAAAUGCCACUAGACCAAACAGUGAAACUGAGAUCUGACAACAGGAAAUUCAAUAAACUCUAGAAAGAUGUUGGGAACUGAGCAGAUGGACACAACAAAUAUAUAUUUUUAAUUUAACAUGUUUUUACAAUAGCUAGAGUAUUAGCAUCAUGGGUCACGAAUCUAUUAAAAAUAUGGAAAUAAAGGGAAAAUGAAAGGAAAUUAGUUCGGCUCUCGAUACUCUUGAUUCCUUGCAUGAAGAGCAAAAUUAAAUUGAAAUAUUUCCUGAGGCAAAGAAAGAUUAAAAGAAAAUUAAUGGUACUGUAUGAGCAUAAAUAACAUUUCAUAGGGUAUGUCUGUGGUUAUCAUAGCUGAAGGCUAAAUGAAAUAUUUAGUCUGAGUAAAAGUCUGAACAUAGGAUAUGCAGUUGUUUUUUACUCCUUGUUGCCUAAAAAAAUUCCAUUGCACCAAUGAGCAAAGAGCUGAAACUCUUUAGAGUCCUACUGCAGCCACUGACCAAAACCUCUACAUUUAGGUAACAAAAGGUUAGAUAACACGUUUGGUUAGAGGGUUUUUUUCCCCCUAAGAGAUGCCGAGGAUACUUAAUUUACACAGAUCUCUGAUACAACAGCCUUUGAAUUCUCCCAAAGGUAAUCUCACUUGCCCUUCAGCUGCUGUCUGUUGAGCACAGUGACCUUUAUCCUUAUUUAUGGCCAAUACUUUCAAACUAGCAUAAAAAAUUUAUUUUGUAAGGGAUCCUUAAAUUUGUCUGCAAGUAAGGUAUUUGUCUACAGCAAUUUAAGGACAAAAUUCAACCACUUAUUCCCAUUAAUUAUAUCUGUGGAACAACUGGGAACUAUUAAAACAUGUAUGGCAUAAUGAGUAACUUCUGUUCUAAAAACUAUUCUUUGGUCUGCUCUACUCCUUUCAACCCAAAAUUCACCAUGUCAUCACUACUCACUUCAGGAGGAGUUCUCUUCAUCUCCCUCCCUCCCCGUUCAUAAAUUCAGUAAUUGAUGUCCCAUAUAGAAUUCUGCGUAUUUUCUACAUGACAUAUUAUUCAGAAGAAAUUCCCCCAAAAAUACACAGAAGACAAUAUAUAUAUUGUUCCUUGCAAUUAGCAUGGACCUGCUUGUUAGCUUGCUUCUUAUACUGCAGAACCUGACCGUUUUCUAAGAGCAACAAUACUCUAAAGUUGUUGACAUUUUGUGAUAUAAAUUGUGUAUUAUUCUUGGCAUAAAAGUGAACAAUCCAACCACUGUUAAAAAUAAAGACUAAAAACCAACAUUACAGCUACUGUACAAAGUCAGGAGGGAUUCAAACAUGCUUCUUUUGCUCAGCCACAUAAGCUCUUGCACCCUUUCUCUCUAGCUAAUAUGAAAAGCAGGGAGGGUUUUUUUUUUUUUGGCCCUGAAGCAUAUAUAAGCUCCUGGCCUUGGAGUACAGGAUUAGGAACACACCAUCUGUCUGACAGCUCAUUCCCAUGGGAGGCAAGCAGGGCACACAGGUUGGAAGAGAGCUACAAAUCACUCUAAGAGGUUCUCCACUCAGGCAAAUGGGGACAAGGGUGGCACAGCAGCAGGCAUCUGUCCUGCAGGGUAGAUACAGCCCUCAGAGCACCAAAUUAUGUGCUGGUGUUCAGCAGUGAUGUUCUAUCACCAAGUAAUUUUGUCAGAAUGAGUUCAUUAGUUUUUCUCCAAAGAUGUUUACUAGACGAAUAGGCUAAUGGCUUAUGAAAUCAGCCCUUACAGCUUAUAUACUUGCUUUUAAAUUCAGUCUGUGCUCCAGUCUGAACAUUUUUCAUUUAAAAUGCAAAUCUUUUGGAGAAUAAAUUAAAACAAAACGAAACACCAAAACCAAACCACAGCAACAAAAAACAACAACCAUGAAAACACAAAUAAACCCCAAAAACCACAAAAAGUGAGACACAAAAUACUUAGAAGCAUCUUUCCCAAAUCAAAUUCAGCUUAGAUCUCCCUGUUUAUCCCUCUAUUUUAUUUCCUAGUUAUGUACAAAUUGCAUUAUGAUAUACUUCAAACACAGAACUGCAUUUGUGGAGCACCAGACAACAAUCCAGUCCCAUUCCCCAGAAGCACUUAAGGGCCAUCACAGUAUGAAAUCUUAAAAUUAAACUGUUUUCAAUGCUUUCCUGUGUAUCUUAUCAUAGCACCACUGAAGAAGGCUGUGAUCCUCUUCAGCAGAUCUCCCUAGAUAGCAGAUGUGUGUUGAGGUUUUAAAUUGUUACUUAUUGUACCAUACUGAAGAUUUCAUGCUGUGAGAAAUGUAUAAUGCACUUGAUGUGUGUGCUUGUCCCCUGGCAUCUGCUGGCUGAACCAGGAUCCCUAAAUGCCUUCUAAUUAGCAUUUAUUUUGAAAACAGCAGCAAGAAAUAAAAAUAUAUACCUCUUAACUCAUCAUUUGGGAUUAAACAGAUUAAGGAAUAUUUUCGUUUAGCUCUAACUUCCUUUAAAGACAUCUGGGUCAAUUUCUGUUGUCUGUCUAGAGCUAGCAGAUAAUCAGGAGGAUGAGAACUUCUCACUGAGCAAGAUCCUAGACAUGAAUUUAUCAUUCAAGAAACUUUUUGGCUUGCAAUUUUUGGCCCUUUCUGUAGUGAGGGUUUGAGUUAGAGCUGACAGUGUCUGGCCUGCAGUCAAUACAACACAAUGUGCUAUACAGAAGCGAGAAGAUUUCUGGAUUUGUGAGCAACUAAUAUUGCCCAAUAAACUAUGCAUGACGCAGUAAAGAGUAACAUUAGACUUUUAAUAUCUUUUUUUCAAAGGCAGCAAACAGAGUGUGCAUCAGUAGUGGCUAUCAUGGAUAGAAACAGCCUGUUUGAAAGUAACAUUUCUCUUUUGAAUUGGCAUGCAGGAAUGGAGCAAUGCAGGUGCACAGACAAAUAUCAGCCAAGAUUACUUUGGUCAGGUAGAAAACAUCUCUCUAAGUCAGAAAGUUAAAAUCUCUUAUUGGUGGAACUAGAUAAUACUUGUUUCACUUUAAAAUAAGGUUUACUUAUUUAAUAGCAGAUAAUCACAGCAUUCUGGAAACAUUAGUGUAGAAUAGCUCAUAUAAUUUUCCCUUGCAUGUGGAAAACUACUUAAGAAUUAGCCCAGCUUCACACCCUUCUUCACCAAAAUCUUAAAAGUAGAUUUCUCACUUUGGACAAUGGACUACUUAAGAGCCAGGUUUGGUCAUGAAUACCUUUACAACUUCUUAUGGCAGGUCUCUCAAGGCUACCUGUCUCUUCCCUGUAUGUUGAACUUUUAUGUCUCAACGCUUUAGAAAAAGUUCUGAAUAUUUAAACAGAGCAGAAGAACCAAGGGGAUGACAUGCAGUGCUUAACAAUAAUUUUGGUGUCAGUAGUAUGUGCAACAACCUUAUUCACCUUACAUUUAGUGCUGCUCCUAAAUGUCACCAAUGAACUCGUGAUCCAACUGGUGUUUCCAGAACAUAAGAAGAAAUAAGUAAGAAAAUAUAUUAGAUUAAACAACUUCUCAAACAUCAUGUGCUUUGAAUCCAAUCUGAACUUAAAAUUUCAUCAUACUCACAACAGAUUAUUUCACUUUUUCAUAGGUUGAUGAACAACGUGAGAUCUGGAGUCUUAAUAAGUAGGGCAAAGCACAUGUAAAGAAAAGAAGAAUGUCACAUCCUAUGCCAAGGAGAACAUGGACAAUGUCAAUAGACUGUUUGGACAGACGGAAAGCUGCAUUUAAGAUGCACAGGACAGACAAGCUCAGCUCUUUGAAAUUAAUCUCACCUUUCAUGUAACAAGGCCUCGCUUCUAAAAAUGUUUAAGUACUUUGCUCCCAGUAAAAUCAGAGAUCACAGUAGUGCUCAAAAGGCCUUUGAGGAUGUGUGUGGUUGCCAGCAAUCUAACAAGGUAAGCCUAGAGGCUUUUUGCUGAGGAUGUGAAAGAGGGCAAAUCUCAGGAUGGAAUGCACAAAAGGCAGGGUGCUGAAUAAAAUGGUUCCUCCAGCAGAAACUGGGAGGCAUUAGCCUGAGCUGUAAGAACUCAUAACCAAAAUUUAAGUUGCUAGAACAUGCACCCAGAAUGUGAGAAAACAGUUUGAUUUCCCUAUUCAGACUCAGGAGAUUCGAUUCUCCCAGCAGGGUGCUCUAAUUAGCAAGCUGUCCCCUGCUGUGCAGUGGGAAGCUUUAAUCCUUCCCACUGAAACUAUUUGACUUUUCAGAGAACAGAAACACCGCAGCUGCACUGUGCAGAGACACAAGAGUCCCUGACCCUGCCCCAAUGGCUGCUGAAUGCACCUGAAGUGCAUUAAAACAUAAACCCCAUCUCACAUUUCCUCUCCUAGGCAUUUGUCUCAGCGGCUGUAAUGACAGAAUCACAGAAAAGUUUGGGUUGAAAGGGACCUUUUACAGUCAUCUCUGCAGCAAGCAGGAAAAUCUUCAAGUAGAUCAAGUUGCUCAGAGCCCCAACAAACAAAACAUUGAAUGUUUCCAGGGAUUAGGCACUUACACCUCUCUGGGCAGCCUCUUCCAGGGUUUCAAAACCCUUAUCAUAAAAAAAAAAAAAAUCUUCCUUCUAUCUAGUCUGAAAAUCCACAAAUUCUCUACGACUACUUCAACAGAGGGUCUGGGUGGGAGCAUGAGAGACACCUCAUAGGCUGGUGGGUGGCUUACCUUCUGGAAGGUAAGAGAUGGGCAGUCUCAGCUCCUUCAGCAAAAAAGCACACAGAUAUUUGGUUUCCUGAAAUCUUUGAUAUCUUAGAAUGUGAAUGUUUGAAUUUUUCAGUUAGGAACUGCAUAGCCAAGGAUAUAAGAAUAGUUUGGCAUCUUUUGAUUGAAAAUAAAAGGAGACACUUGCGUUCAUUACACUGAUGCAUAAAUGCCAAAGAGCCUUUGUGUUUUGUAAAGCAACCUGCAUACUACAUGUUUACAAAGGCAAAAACAAGGUUCUCAUCUUGGAGCCCUUCUGACAGGUAUGGAUUAUGCAGACACACACAUGACUGUAUGAUCAUGGCCCUAGGGGAAUAAUAACAAACAAGUAUUAACUACUAACAUCUCUUAAAUAAUAGCGAACAUCAUGCAUAUAGCGAUAGAACUUUCAACCAUCAGCCUAUGUACUAAUAUUUUUGCUCUGCUUUUCCUGUUUUGUGUUAUUUUCUUUUUCUAUGCCAAAAAAGUGAAACUUGCUUUGUAGCUUGACAUCUGAAGAGUCACUUUCAAACUUGAACUCCUUUAAUUGUUAUUCAACACUGUAGGAACCAACCUGGCUUGCAAAGGAGGCCAAGUGAAUCCCCAAGGUUCAGUGCCCUGUUUCAUUUCUACACCCGGUCACUAACUGUGAGACCAUUUGGCAGCAGCAGUCUUUAAACCUUCAAAUAAUUAGUUCUUGCAAAGGUAGGCGGAGACUUCAGAAGAAAUAUGAUAUGGAAGACUAUAACAAAAAAUACCCGAAACAAAACCCCCAAAACUCAACAACCCACACUUCUGCAUUGUGCCUGACUUGGAAUCACUUGAAGAAAAGUUUUUCAGCUAAGUUUUUACCUUUAUAUAAGCUUAUAUUCCAAUUAAAAGCACUGCAAGUGAAAGAAAAACCUUUCAGAACUGAUUUGGGGUGAGAACAAAGGAAAAAACCAAUUAAUCUUAGCAAUUAAAAUUGGCUGUAAACAAAAAAGAAUCGGGUGCGUGUGUGUAAUUUUCUCAUUAAAUAUUCUGUAGAGGUCCACAAUAGGAUUUUCAAAGAUCACUUUGAAGAAAUGUUAACAUAAAGAGACAUAUUUUAAAGGCAUCUUUAAAACUUUUACUCGCCUAAAAAAGUAGAAGAGUGGUAAGAUUCUCCCAUCAUCAGAUCUGUGGUGUGUUUGUUCACUUGUCUGUGGUUUUUGAUCAAUAUUCUCAGUAGUCCUUUAUAGGCAAGAAGAAAGACAGCUUUUCUGAAAUCAUAGCUCAGCUGGAAGUGAGAUCUCAUCCCUGUAUCUCAGACUCUGAGUUCUGAAGGAAGUGUCUUUCCUGACACCAGCUCCGAAUUGAGCAUAUUCCCAUGAAAAAAACAAAAGUUAGAGGACUGGUGGUAACAACAAGAAACAAUCCACCAGCUGAUCUUUACAUCUUAGAAAUAACCUGUGGGACCUGACAACGGUGGCUAGAUUUUAUCAGCCACUAAGGGACUGCAGAUGGGAAAAAGGGUCUUUAAAAAUCACACAUUUACCUACAAGUGGGGCCAGAAGCUGGAGGAUGUCCUUUGGAACUGACUCUUUGCUAGUUUGCCUGCUAGCAUUUAUUUCAGAUGUAAAGCUGGACCCAGCAUCCUGGUGAUUUGAAAAAACUCUUACAAGAUAGUCUUCUCCCAUACAACUGACACCCAACAUGUGAACAGGUUCCUUCCACCCUGAAUGUCUCCAGUCCUUUUUUUUUUUUAAUUAAUUCAAAAUUGCUUUCCUCUAUUCUCAACUUCUACUCCUCUAUUCAAAUCAAGAAAGUAUCAUAAUAUCUAUUGAGUUACUUGUUUCUUAUUUUAUUUUUAUUUAUUUAUGCAGUGUUAAUAUUUGUAUUUUUAAAAUAUUCUCAAAAUGUUUGCUUGUGAAAAACCAGACACAGUGAAAUAGAACUGCUUUGAUGUAUCACCGAGCUGGAAACCCACUAACUGGGGAUUCAGAGAGACCAGAUGUCCUCAUUUUUUUCUUGUAUGUGGAAGAUAAUGAAAAAAACAAAAGGACAAAUAGUCAAAAAAAUUCUUUCCCUGCUAUUAUUAUAUUGAUAUGAUUACAUUACAAUAUUUCUCUUAUACUUAAUACAACAAAUUUUAAGUCUUUGUAUAUAAAACAAUGCCCCUCUAAAAGAAAACUCCAGCACUCCCUCCUUUCAUGUGCUCUUUCUGGACCAAGAAGCUUAAUAAAAUUUGAUAAUGUGAACUGCUUUUAAAUUACACUUGCAAUAAAAAGCAAACUGGCUCAGGGGAGGGAGGAAAAGAGUGCAACACACACAAAAAUAAUGAUGCGGUGAUAGAAAACUUCUUUAAUAGUAAAGUGUUGACUGUUGCAUUAUCAACAGAUGGCAUUCCACCCAUGACAAACUCAUCCUACCUGAGUACAUUUCUCGUAUGUCCUUAUGUUUCCAAUUAUGUGUCUUUCAGAAGUGCAGAAAAGGUAUUCCAGGUAUUAAAAAUUUGAAUUUUAAUUCAUGUUUAGGUAAUUUUAGGAAAUAAAAGUAUUUUGUUCUGAUGUUUGGAGCUGGGAAGUAGUGAAAGGCCUGAAUCAUGAAAAUUAUACUACUUAACCCUUCCCAUAUAUUUCACAGCAGCUAACAGCCAGCUAUACAAUUAAACAUCCUAUGGGUGAGAUAAUAAAAAUUAAUGCAUGUUAUUCAAUUACUAACUAAUUAGAAGCAUUUACUGUGUUUAAGUACCACACUGUGUGAUAGCAGAGAGGGGAUUUCAAUGAAUGCACUAACAUUUUAUUAAUCACAUGGCAAUUAUUGUAAUAAAUUUAAAUAAAAGUGGUAUUAGGGGACCAUAACUCCAAUCAUAAUCCUUUAUUAAAAUCCUUGUUAAAGUCAGACAAUUAUCAACCAUCAAGAGGAGAUAUUCCGCCUAUUGCUCAUGGUGGAAACAUUGUACGAGUCCACAAAAAUCACUACAGAGGGAUGAGUCGGGAGCACUGCGUGCCUCACUUCACAAGUUUCUGAGAGGGAGGCAGCUACAGGUGGGGACAAUGGCUGUCAAGUGUCUGGCUCCUGCUCCUCAACAAACACAGGAGCUCAUCUGAGCAGGGACAAUACUCCUAAGAACUUCAUGUAGCCAUUAGUAUCUUGCUAGACCCACAAGGCUAACACCUCUCGGCAGAACUCCACAACAGCUUUAUUUGCUUUGUCCCCCUUUAGAUCAUCAGUGCUAAAGGACAAAACAGGUCCUAGAAGGGCUAGGUAAGUAACACUUCAGGCCCAUGUCAACAAAAAACCCUGCAAUAACCAAAAAUUAGGCCUUGAAGCAACACUUAUUUUGAUAGCAAGCCUUUCAUCUCCAUGAGAUUUUGCUGCUUUCGGGUGAAUGAAAAAACAGAUCUGGCCACCGAGCUGUGAUUUGAUCUUGCUUUAGAGAUGGCAGAAAAACUACUGUGCUUUUAAUCUUCACAUGAGGAUGUGCUUUUAAUCUUCACAUGUUUCAAUCAACACAAUGAGGCUGUGCCACAGCUCCACACAAAGCUUUCACACAAAUUCAUAUUUAUGCAUCCAUUCCCACGAUCCCAAAAUGAAGCUCUUUGCAAAGACCACUCUUUUUCUCUGCUAAAGAGUCUGAUAGGACAGGGUCAGAUUUUGCCAGGGUCAGAUUUUGCCAGGUUGAUGGCCCUUGCUUAGAUGCAAGUACUCAGUAGAGUUUGGUUUGGAUAGAUUCUGCAACACACAGGAGGGAGCUAAAAGUGAAAGAGAUAUUCAAAGGGACAGGAGCAGAGCUCAGCAGGUGUGUGCCAUGUUCUCCCAGAGAUCAGUAAUGAGUGCACACAGGGACAAUUUGCACAUGUAAUUUUUAUCACACAUCCCAGUCUCAUAACCAGUAAUUAACUGAAAUUUCCAGGAUUUCAGCAUCAUAAAUUAUUAGAAUACCAUACUGUGUACUGAAAAACCUCACAGCAGUAACAGCUAUGGAUGGGUUCAUAGGUUAUCAACAAAGCUGAAGAAAUCACAAUAGCAUGGAACUGGUGUAAGAUACAGCGAGUGAUGCUCCAUUUUAAAAUGCAGUAAUUCAAGAAAAUCUGUGAAAAAUGAAAUACAAUAUUACUAGGAAUAUGCAUGCAUGAUUGCCAUUGUACUGAUAAUGAUGCAUUCAAUAACUGCUUAUGUUUUAGUAUUAGUUCUGUGGUAAGCAUUUAAAAAAACAAAUGGCAUGGCCUCUCUCUGUAUAAACCUUACUUGAAAGUAAGAUUGUAGAUUCACAGCAAAAUUACAGAACAAAAGAAAUACUCAAUUAAUUGUCCUAAGGAUAACAGUUGACUCAGAAAAAAAUACACAUCUUACCUAGUUAAAAUAAUGUCUUAAAUAUCUAUUUUAAGAAGAUACAUAUAUUUAUCUUAAGUUCACCCUAAGUUUCUUAUUUUUAAAUUAACUAAUCUGUUCGCAUUCACAAACUUAAGACAAAUAUCUCUGUUGUAAGUGAGCAGAUGCAACAUACUUUUAAUAGAAAAGAGCCAAACAUUUUCAACCUGUGGUAUAUUUCCUCUGUAGUGAAGCAAAUCACCUAACCCACAGUUACACAGCAGCUGGGAUUUACUUUUCUAAACAGAAAUUUUAUGCUGGCACCAUCAGUUCUGCUUCAUUUGUGAUAGACCCACAGGUUUUAUUUUUCUCCUAUGAAAACAAUGAAAAUGGAACACCUGGCAGCAUGUCACUGUCAAAACAAUGUAUUGCAGUGCAUGGCAACCUCCAUACCUAGGGAUUUCUUGCAUAAUGACACGGGAACUCUUCAGUUCUAGCCUUCUCCUCCUCCUGUAAGAGGACUGCAACAGUCCAUUGCUCAUAAUUUUAGACAUUGUUGUCCUACAAUUAAGUCAAUCUGGAUUUUCCUCCAUUAACAAACACAAGAGAAAAACUGUUCUACUGAGUCAGAUGCUUGCAACUCUCGACAAAAUUUUGUCUCCUAUACCCCUCAAUUUUUGUGUUUACAAAGUUCACAAAAACCGCUUAAAACAUAUACCUACCUAUGACUUCUUGGUUCCAGAAAAACCCAACCCACCACAUGGGGGUGCAAAAAAAGCUCCACAUAAGAAAUCAGGAAGCUAAAUUUAGAGCAACUCAAACAGCAAACAACAUCCCUUUUUCUAUCAGGCCAGGCUUUGGUGACAUGUUGUAUCUUACACUGUAUACCAAAGCCGGUGGCAGUACUUACACUGCACAUCAAACCCGCUCCCCUCUCGCCUCCUUGGCUCGGUUACACAUCUCCCCCACAGGUCCCAGCCCACUCCCCUGGUUCUGUACUCUUGUACCUGGCCUUGGCACUCCUCACCUGAGAGUCCUAAAUAUCAAGUGGGCAAACCCAAAUUUUCCACCCUGGCUCCAUAAUGGCCCAGGGAGGGGUGGGGGUGUAGGAGCAGUAUCUCCCUGUUUGGCCUCUCUUGGAAGCUGGGAAUACAAGACUUGCAGCUGCCCUGUGUUAGACUGAAGAUUUUGAAGAAUAGGUAGAGAACUACCCAGUCCUCAGUGUUCUUUUCUUAUCACGUAGUCUCCCACUGCUAUUUGCCUUAACCGUAUUUUCUCCACACUCCCCUCAGACCAAUCCUUUCCCAAACCAUCACCAUAUUGCCCCCUCUGGGCAUCCAUCUCCUUAACUACCUCUGGGAGAACGCGCAAACCAUCUCAACAUUCUCUCAAAGGACCCUUUGGAAACUGUCCACUGAGAAGUCACAAGAACACCAAGAAAAAAUUAGUAACAUGGACCUUAACAUUGAAAACUACUUAGAUGACUCUAGAAUGCGGAAAGACAAAUUCCUUCACCAGGUUUUUAGGGAUAACUGCAAGCACACCCGAAAGGUACCCCUCUGUGAUCUUUUGAAAGACAAAUGCAAUAAAAUAACCAACUGAUACUCCUUUGUUCAAUACUAGGACAAUAGAGCCUGUCGUUAAUUUAAAGUGUGCCAUGAAAUCCUGAGCCACAUUAAUGGAUCCUUCAGCAAGAAUUUGAAUUCCUCGCUGUUGUUGUUUUAUACAUUCUCUCACUGAUAUUUCCCUUAUGUGCAAAGAGAUAGUAUCUUAAAAUGUGUCUGCACAGGGCAAAGAAAAAAACACAGCGCAGAAAAUAAAGAAUCAGACCUCAAAAAUCAGAAUUAUCAUCUAAAUUCAUUCUUACAUUUAGAGGUAUCAGCAACACAAGUCACACUCACUUCAGCAUGACACCAUACUAACGUUCCCUCCAAUGCUCCUCCUGCUCUGAUGGCAAUGCAAUUAGCAUCGAACACAAUAAAUGUUUCACCUAUUGCUGGAUUUCAAACUCCUCUCUCCCCUGUCUUUGGUACGUGUGAUUUCCUUAACCCAAAAUGCAAUGGAUAAAACAGAGGAAAUACUACUUCUAACCCACUGCUGAUUCCUUGAUGAAGUACCUGGAACAGUGUUCUCUCUUGAGAACAUCUCUGUCAGGCAGCAUUCAUUUGACUGAUUCUCUGACAAAAAAAAAAACCCACACAAUUUAACCUACCAUAUUAUCCCAUGUUUUUCCAGAACUGAUUAAAAAAAUCCUCAAUCAAUCCAUAAGCGAACUACCCUGCUUCAUUUUACUUUAUAAACCCUUAAAUGAAAUACCUUCCGCUCAGGAGAUUAAGCUUUCAGGAAUCCUUGUGUAUUUCUGACUCACUGUGGGCAUUUGUAAUACAAGUGUGCUUUAGGCUCGUCACCUUACUAGGGUCAUAUUUCCCAACAAAAACCCACUGUAAAAUCCAACACCAUCAUCAGCUUCAUAAGAGAACACAUUGCAGUUGUAAACACAAAAAGCAAUUGAUUGAUAUGAGGUCCCAUGAUAAUGCCCCAGCUAUGCAUUCCUUUGCUAUAACAGAUAUCCACUGAUACACCAAAUACUUAAAGAAUUAUUAUGAGAUCCAUUCAUUACAGAUUUUUUUCCCCCAGGAACUGAAGACAUGGUCAAAGACACCUAUGUAAAGUACUGUAUAUUCCCAACAAGUGAGAUCUCAUUUAGUUGAGAGGAAAAUGGAGAUUUCUUAAAAUUGACGACUGCAUCGAAAAGGAAGUUUAAUGAAAUUCUCUCACUAACUCAUAUAUCAGUCUUUCUUUAGCAGGUGGCUCUGACUAACUAACAUUUAAAAGUUAAGCUAGUGUUUCUCUCAUUUGCUUCACGCCACUGUUACUUUAAAGUGCCAGAAUUUCUUAUAGGACAGUGAUUUGAGAGAUUAUGUUAUGUUUUAGCAGCAUUUUAAUUUCAAACAGAGAAGAUAGAAAGGUAGAAAAUAUAUAAAGAGGACAGAAUUCUACACUAAAAGUAUAUGUGGCUCAUGAACAGAUACAUGAUCUAACAAGAGAUUUAUCUGCACUUAUGAAGAAUGAGGAACAAUGCUGGGGUUACUCUCUUUUGCACAGUUAGGCUCUAGAAAAAGGAUAAAAAAUCUUUGCUUUUUUAUUUCAAAAUGUUGCUGUCUUAUACCACAAUCAAUUAUUAAACUUGGCACGACAUAAACUGCAGUUUUAAUGCAUAAAAAAAAAAAGUUAGAAAAGAUUUACACUAUAUACAAUCAUUCAUGAAAAGGUUAAAUCUAUGUUAUCAAAAAAAAAUCAAAGUAAAUGUUGAAGCUACUCAAAUUAUAGUAACAUAGCUAAAUAUUUCUUUUUCAUGCUCUUUUGGUUAGAGCUCUCAGUAUGGAUUUUGUUCUCAAAGUAGUAAUCUGAUUCACUCCCAACCUCAUUAGUAAUUUAUUAGAGAUCUACUUUUUCUAAAGAAUCCUGAUUUCUUGAUCAGAUUAAAUAAAAUGUGUAUAACUUUGAUUAAGCUUUCAUUACAUGCUUAUGAAUGACUAUUCUGAUUACAAGAUGAGAAUUAGAGAAUGUCACAAGAUCCAUAGGCUAAAGAUAAGAAUUUAUUUGAAAUGAAGAGCUCUCUUCAUCUGUCAUUGAUCUAGGAUAAGUAAUUUAUGUUAUCUCUACCCCUAUUUAAACAUCCGCAAUAAUGUUUGCCUGUACUUAUUCACAAAUUUUCUUUCAUCAAACCCUUAGUUUUGGAAAUCCUUUCUAUGUUUUCCUUGACAUAAUUUGGAGAUACUUCUAACAACUGAUUUCCUUCCCCAGGUCUAUAAACUGUAAGAACUGACAAAAUGUCUUUAAAAUACUGGAAAAAAAAUCAACUUGUACUUGAACAUGCAAUUUUUCCAUGUUAAACACUUCUUCAACCUUGUCUUGUUUAAAGAAAAGAACAAGAAAAGGGUUAAUCAAGUCACUAAAACUAAUACUUCAGUGCUUUCCUAAACUGUAGAACCCGGGCUGCAAACCUUCCUUUACUUAGAUGUGUCAACAGUCAACUCAAUCCAACGACAGGCCAUGGAAUCCAUCACUUUCAGAGAGAAUUAUUUAAUAAAAACAUGAAAUUAAUGGGAUUGCACCACUUGUGUACAGACUUGAGCCCUCAGAUGGGGAUAAAUAAUAUGCAAAAGUGCAGUGUGUUUUGCAAAAUGUUUAUGCAACUGUUUAUUCUGCUGUCUUCAAGCAGAAUAAGGCUGACAAGUACCAGCCUGUGAUAUGCUCCCUUUUAGAGACUGAGGUUUAUUUUUAUUUCUAUGGUGUAAUACCUCUUGGAGAAUAAAAAUAAUGUUUGCUAAGCUCACAACUAUUCUGUGCCAAUUUAUUUUGAAACAGGUCCGAAAUGAAAUUAUUGCCUAAUUUAUCUUCUAAACCAUAAUUUUCAGCUUUGGAGGAAUACAGUCCUUUACAAACACACAGAAUUUGUGAUACAGGGAAUUUUUAGAUGCACACAUGUGCACAUACACACCCACACACACCCUUCAAAGAAACAAGAUGGCACUAAGGGACAGACAGACCAAAUCUGAACAAGAAUGACAGGGUAAAAAAAUCUCAUCUUGGAAAGUCUAAGGUAAUUUUAAAAAAUAAGAAACCUCCUUCAUAUACCUUCAAGUGAAGGGCAGUUUUAUGGUUCCUCAUACGCUUCUGGCCUUGUCCUUACCCUGCAGAUAGGAAUGGAGGCUGUCAGAGGCUGGCACCACAUUGCUGCCUACAACAGAGUCCCACAGAUUUAUUUGUGACCUCCUGCUCUUCAGCUCUUUCCCUGUUCAGGGUUUUAAUUAUCACUCCUGUGCUCAGGAUUGGAAAAUUCAGUCCUUCUCCAUCAUCACUGCUUGUACAUUAUUUCUCCAUGUUUAUGGCUUAAACAUAAAUUUUAUAAACAUCCUGCCACCCAACAACCACAUUAAAUUAUAACAACACUGCAGUAUGUAUAGUGAGGUAAAAAGGAGCAGUAGAUAGAGUGUUAAUCUGCUAGCAUUAUUUGACCUGGGGGAGAGGGGGAAAGCUGCAGAAACCAAAUAGAAUGAAUAAAUAACUCUUUUAAUCUCACUCAUCAAUAAAUUUCAAAUUAAAUUGAGUCAUGAAAAAAAAAAUGUUUUUGUUACUGUUUUUCUUCCUGCAAAACAUAUUAAUCAUCUGAUCAUUCCUUUCGUUCCAAGGUCUACUAUUCAGGCAAUUAAGUCUCCCUGUUUUUAAAAUAUACUGCAUUUCCAUUUUUUCUGUUCCAGAGUAACUGUAAAGAAAGCCUUGCCCUGAGUUACCAUUACCUGCAUCUUGUUCUUCCUAGUGCUUAAGCUAAUAAUUGUUUCUAAUACAUUAAAAUGUGUAUUAAAGAUGAUUAAAUGAUUGGCAGUGCUACUUUAAAUUCAUUCCUCCUAGACCAAACCCUUAUCUUUCCAAAGUUGAUGAUUUAAAGAUCAGAUCUUUUGGGAGACAAUCCCCAUUACAUUCAUCAGAAUUGGUGCUUUCUGUGUCUGUUUGCUAUUCAAAUAUAAAUAAUCAGAGAACUAUUACAUGCAUGAGGAAUACAAAAAAAAAAAAAAAAAGGAUUUUAUACUAUUGUACACCAAUAUGUGGUUUAUGCAGUGCAAAUAAUAUAAAUAAAUAAAUGGAUAAAUAAAUAAUAUUUAUAAGCCUUGCCUGUGUGUGGUAAAUUUUUUACAAACUAUUAGUAGUUGCUAAGAAAUUUGUAGCUCAAAUGCAAAUAGAAACACCACCUUUUUUCCUCCCAACAAAACAAAAAACCUUUCUGUUCAUUUCAAACCCUUCUCUAGAUGUUGGCUUGUAUUCUAUUCUGCCUUUUUCUUUGAAAUGUAUUCAUGAAAUGGGACGAAACACAAUGAAAUGGAGACCCUUUUCCAAAAUCGUGCUGAAGCAAUGUCACUUUCAUGAGUUCUUAUGCUUGAUGCAUCACUGGCAGCACAUUUCACAGAAGGUUAAAAGGACACAUGUGAAAAUGAAAUUACAGUGAUUUUUAUUGUAAACAGAGCACUGUUUGGAUGCACUGCACUAAAAGACUGCAGUGCAACCCGGUAGCACUGGAUACUUACCAGUUCACUAAAGGUGAUGUCAAGAAUUGCGCUAAGUCCUACAGCUAGGUGAGGGGGUUGUAGGAUGUAUUGUGGUGACAAACCCACCCGCGGAACAGGUGUGACAAGGAAAUUGUAGGAACAUCAAGAGCACAGGGAAGAGAUGCUGAGGUGAGAUCAAGUUCACAUGAGCUGUGCUCCAGGUACAAGCCAAACACAUGCUUGAACACUUCCUCCAGGAAACUAAAAUAUAUAUCUUUGACUUUCAUCAUUAUGGCCCAAUAAACUAUUCUUUUUAUUACACAUACCUUCCAGCUAAUGGUGUGCAAAAACAUGGCUUCUCACUUCAAAUAGGAGAGUUUAAAUCUGUUUAAUAGCCUUUAGAACUUUAUGAUAGGUAUUAAGGCAGGAAGUAGUUAUGAAAUUUUAAAUUCUUAUAAAGUCGGGUAGAAGCGAGGCAAAAUAAAAAAAAAAAUGACCAGUCAGUGCAUUUCUUGCUGGUUUUUCUUGGUCUUCUUUUUACAACUACUUGAGUUUUUUAAGGCCAGCUAUAGAAUCUGAAGCCCUGUAAUCCCAGGCUAUCAUGCUAGCAACGCUUUAGAAUUGUGGACUGUGAGGUCAGAAGGACACAGUGGUUUUACUGUGAUUGUUUAAGCAACUACUACCAUUUCAAUAUGGUGAGGAAAAUAUGUGCAUUAUAAAAAGUAUUUAUACUUCAUGAAAUUUCUUCACUGGCAAAUCCCAAAUAAUCUACUACUGCUUCAGAUAUAUAAAUAUAAUCUAGUCAAAGCUAGAUAGUUCAAAAUCAAACCAUGUUUGGGGGAGAGAAGUUCACAGCACGCUAGUGGAAAAUAAAAAACACAGAGUGACAGAAAAAAAAAAUAAGAAGUACAUCUUUUAUCUUCUUUGGAUAGUACAUCUUGGUUAACCAUAAAUAAAGUAAAUGGGAGGGAUGAUGGUUAUCUCUUAAGAGCCAAGAUAACAUUCUAAAGUAUUAUGGCUCCAUUUCUAGCUCUGCUAUAAAUUUCCAUUCUUGCCCGAGGAUGGAUAGUUUAGUGCUUCCAUUCCAACUCAACAAAACUCCAGAGUGUGUGCACUUCUGCCUAGAUUAGGUUUAUACAAAAUGAAAACAGGUUAUAAAUAUAUUAAAUAUGUUACUGAAUUACAGAUUCUGUUUCUCAGAGACCUCUCCUCUCUGGGCAUUUUAAGGGCAUUAUGAAUGAGGACACAUGAACACCCUCAACCUAUCUAAGAGUUCAUACAUACAUAACUGAAUAAUCAUUUUCUUGGAGAAAAAAAUAUGCAUUUAACAUAUCUGCAAGACAGAGAAAAACUGCAGUUUCAAAUUUAGAAAGCUGCAGGUGCUAAAAAAACAGAGAAGAAAAAUAUUUUAGGAACAACUAAAUAGAGGAUCUAGACAUAGACGUGGGAUCAACUGUCCUUAUUUGUCUGAAUCAGAUUUCUUUUAUUCAUAGGAGUAAAAAGGCUCUACAAAUUCUGGAAGCCUGCUUAGACUGCACCAGUGCACAAUACUUAUGAAAGAAAAUAAGCAUUUCAGUGAAAUUCUCCAUUUUCUUGUAUUUUCCUAAGUACAUACUUGGGUUUGUAUUUCUCAGUAUUGAGACAACAGCAACAGCCUGGAAAAUUUCACACCUCAAAUACUCCUAAGGCAAUGAUCAGGGUCACUGGAACUUAGACUUUGUUGGAAGACUUCAAUCAAAACCUGAUUUUUUUAUUUGCCUUCUGUCUAACUUGAUGUUUGCAAAAUGUUUCAUUUUCACAAGUCACUUAAACAAACACAAAAAAUCUCUGGAACUACUCAUCUGAGACAUUUUAUUACAUUUAAUAAAGCAACACAAUGUGACUGAUAAAUCAUGUCAGGAAGUUUAACAACAAGAUUGGACUAAUUUGGCUUUAAUGUAUCACUAGAUGAAUCCUAACCAGUGUCAACUAAUAAGUAAAACUGAUGGUAACAGAAUUUCACCAAGUGUAGAUGGAACACAGCCUACUCCACUAGUGGCUAGAUGAGUCUUAAAGCUUCCCCAGACUUCCACUAACAGUCAUUAAAUGAAGAAGCCAUUAAUUAAACCUGCAAAUGAUGCAGUAUGUGGGAAGAUUGUUAAAUGCUAGACAGAUAUAAAGAAAAAGUGGGCCUGUGUUAAUAAGAAUUACCAAAUUGAGAAUAAAAAAAGUAGCACCUCAAAGGGAGAUAAGCUCAAGUUUAUGUAUAUAAAAGGCAUUAGCCUUAUGUUUCUAUAUAAAUGCACAGUAGCACUAGCAAUGCACUCAAAGAUCUAAGAUCAAAAACAGAGCCAACAGCUAAUCCACUCCUCUCCUAAAUACUAAAAACUGCAAAAUCUGCAAGAGCAAUUCCAAAAACUUAAAAGUAGAUUGAAGCUCUACAGCAGACUGCUGUACAGCAGACUGCUCCUCUGUUUAUAGCUUGGAAUAUGUUGACAAGCUUCCCUUGUCCCUUCCCAACAAAAUUUGGUUGUAUUUUACAGGUUGCUUGAAGGACAAAAAUUUAGAAAAAACACUAGCUGCCCUCCUCUAACAAAUUCAGACCGACUGACUUCUGAUUUUCAGUCCCUAGGGGGACCUUAAGACACAUAAGGUAUAGUCAAACACAAACGGUGGAGAGCAGUAGAUUGGCUCUCAAAUUUCUGUCUUCAGCAAACACUUGUACUGUUAUCAUCAGCUAAUGAAACUUUAGGAAAGCCCUGCUGCUGCUUAGGCUGUGUUACUGAUACAACUGCAGUGACAUUUUUUUCUGAGGAUAAAGUGAACCAUUCUGAUAUAUGGACAGGCUCUCUAUAAAUCUCCAUACAAUCUACAGAUCUAAUAUAAACAACCAUGAAUCAAAAUUGCUGUCUUUUCACAUGGGAAAUCAGUUAAGGGUUCCGUUUUCUCCUUUAUGGAAUACAAGCCACUGGAUAUAAGUAACCAAAUUAUUGUAGCACAGAAAAUAAUUCUAAGUUUAAGUUUUCUUUUUAUAGUGUACCUUUUUUUGUGUGUGUCUUAAAGCAAAGUCAAGAUUUCUUUUAUUUUAUAUUAAUAUUGCUGUCUCUUUUAUGGCCUAACUCUGAUUUUAUAGUGUUUUUAUACAUAAACAUUACUAUGCUGUGACUCAGGAAUAGCAUCCAGAUCUUCAGCAAUCCCCCACAGUGCCUUACAUAAAGUUGCAUAUUUUAUCUAAUCUUCCUUGCCAUUGAUGCCCACCCACAUGAGACACAUUACUCAGAUCCAAAGAUUAUAGCAUUGUUAUGCUGAUGAUACCUUGAUUUAUUUCUCUAUUAAACAUUAAUGAUGCAGUAUCCUGGCAUAAAUUCAGAGUGCAUUUUCAGAUGUACUUGAAGAUACCCAUGAAAUAUAUCAGUUUUUCUGCAAAAUAAAUUUUAUACUGUCAUUUUACUGCUACUAUUUUACCUUGUUGCUUUCAAAUAAUUAACCAAGAAACGACAUUUAUGUCUAUAUUUUUAGCCAGUCCUGGUUACACUGUAAAUCAGAUGAGAAAAGUAACUGAAAAUACCUUAUAGAAAUUAAUACUUCUGUAAAGAUGAUACAGAAAUUACUUAUGUACCAUUUACAGUUGUACAGAAGUGGAAGCUUAUUCUCCUGUUGGCAUAUUUUCUCACAUCAUUUCAAAACAGAAUGAAAUUUUUAAAAGACACAUGCGUGCAAUGCUUAAAAAAAACCAAAACAAAACAAAACCACCUGUUUUUUUAAUAGCAAAAUACUUUUUUUUAUAAUCUGUUUAAAAAUGAAACCUCCAACUUGAUUAGGCACCCCAUGGACAAACGUUAGUAAUUCUCAAUCUUCCACUACUCAGGAAAGAGACAGAAGCCACAUAAAACAGCCCAAGCUGGUUUUGGAUAUACCCAUGUCAAUAUAUAUUAUCCAGCACACCUCCCACUAUUAAAAUGAAUUGCUGCCUCAGCAAAUGGUUUGCUUGCAGCUUGCAGGCUGGACUUCACAAAGCAGCUCAUGUUCUCCACUAUGGGAUCUGUAUCCUACUGGAAAAGCAGAGAUCCUUGAAAAAGCAACAGAAAACUAUGAGGACAAGUGAAGAAAGAUAAAUAGGAGAUUGCUGCCUCCCAUAGCACUUUACAUUUUCUUUAUCCCUAACAAUGCUGUUGCAGAGGUCAAUUUUGAAGUCACCCCUUGCUUGAAUGAAACUCUUUGAUGGAUAAUAUUUCAAGCAAACAGUACACUUCUCACUAAACGUUAAGACAUGUACAACUAUAAAAUAUUUUUGAAAUACACAAGUAUAAAUAACUUUGCUUGUCAUAAUAGAGCAUAUUUUUCUUGGGAUCAAAUCCUUUACAGUUCUCUAUAUAAUGUCUUCUUGAAAGCAUGUGACAGUAGGACAUAAGUGCAGGUGUUAGGGUUUACAAUGGGUAAGUGUAAAUUAGGGUUUACAUUUCACUGAAGUAAUCAUAUUCACAGAGUAGCCAAAGAAGGUGCAGUCUGAUUUAGCUGUGUUUGGAGACACAAAACAAUUUCUUCUACACUUGAAAAGGAAUAAAAGAAACCCAAAAUAGCACUACAGAAUGGUUUGCAAAAUUGAACUUGGUCUGAAGUCCUUACAAAGUAAGGACAGACAUGUCUAUCUGCAAUCAGAAGGUAUUUAAUUAGCAUGCCAGUUUAUUUUGCUGAUAUCUUACCAAAAUAAAACAGCACUUCCUUACACCCAACCCAUCAGAAGAGCAGCAUAUAAAAUUGCAAGUCAAUUGACUGAUGAUACAUAACAAAAGACUGUAGGACUCACUGGUUACAAGAAAAUUCUGAAUUUUUGAAUUGUAUUUCACUUUCCCAUCUGAAGUGAGAUAAUUUAGAAGCUCAGCCUUGCUGCAGAAUAGAAGGCUAUGGCAGCCCAAAGGGAAAACGAGACACAUCAAGAAUGAUGGAUUUGGAAACAUCACAAGGCUCAUGGGAUAGGUUGCUGUCCAGCUGGCCCAUAUUUUGUGAUUCAUUAAUCAAAAGAGCAUUGACUACAGUAGAAGUUAAUCCCAUCACGGCACAGUAAAGCAGAACAAGGUCCAUGUCAUGCUCCCACACACCUUCAAUAAAAUAACACCACACACACCAUCGGAGAGUCAUUCACACGUCCCUUAACUGUGAUUUGUGCUAAUUCAAGGGAUGGGUGUCACAGAUAUCAAGGGAGCUUUUGGGGGAAGUGUACAGAAGUUCCUUCUGCACAUGCACUUACAGGAGACAAGUUCACAGGGAUUUUUCAUUUGUUUUAUUUAGUUACCUUAUUUAAUAAUCAAAAGUUUCAAAAUUAAGCAUCCAAACCCACACAGGCAAUAAUCUUCACCAGACUAAGUUCUAUUUUUAGAAACCUUCUGUCAUUUUUCUGUAUGAAUUAUGAUUAAUUAUGUCUUAGAAAUCAGUAUUAAUCUCAGCACCAUAGAAUCUAUUUUCAGAUUUAUCAUAAAGUAUUUUACCUCUGAGACAGUAAAUAACAAACUAUAUUGCAAAGUAUCCAAAUUGUAGCCCUUCUCCCCCUGAAAAACAAAAACAACGAACAACAGUAGAAAAAUUACCCAUCAAAAACUUCUUGUAAUUUAAGCAUGCGAGUCUCUGGUAAGUAUUCCAGUUCAAACGAGGAAAAAUAGAAUAAUCUUGAUUCUUUCAUUCCUGGAUUGCUGAACAUUUAUGAUUUACUAUGAACCUCACUGCACUCCUUUUCAAGUUAGGUCAAGACAGGAAAGGGUUUUAAAGUUGCCUAUUUUAACUGCUAAUAACAAGCUGAAUAAAUUUUGCAUCAUGAACAAUCCUUUUCACUUUGAAAUGCUGACACAAAGCCAUCACAGUUGUUACCUCCACUAAACUGGUAGGAUUGCAGUAAGGCAAAUAUAAAUAUUUUAUACAAAUAUCAACCAAAAAAAGGUACUUUUCCCUAAUUAAGAGUAAUUUUGAACAUUCAGAGAACUCAAAGCACUUCAAUAAAUAGCAAAUAAGGAAACUAAAAUAGAGAAAGGAAAAAUGACCAAGGUGAGAUCACAAACGACUUCAGUGGAAAAAUGUGGUCAGAAAACAGGUUUUCUAACAAUUAAAUUUGAGAGCCUCACUGCUAAAUCAUGCUGUAGAAAAAAGAAAACAGAAAAAAGAAAAGAAUGCAGGUACAGAGAGGUAAAACAGAAAUUCCAGAAAAAUCCUUAAAACACUGAGUGACAUUACAAGUACAUAUAUAACAUAAAAUAGCAAUGAAGAUAAAGCAAAAUAACAAUAUUAAUAUAUCAUCAACUCAUCACUCCUUUCAGAGGUCUAAAAGAUAUUAAAACGUUUGAUCUUCAACAAAUACCUGAUUGCCUAGAACUACUACUGUAGUUUUUUCAAAUGCUAUGAAGUGGUUGGAGUGGUGAAUGUGUAAAAAGUAAAAUUUUCAUGUACAGCAUGCUUUAGUUACAGCACCUACAACCUAGGCAUGAACUAUUUCUGUUUGGAUAGACUAAUUUACACUUGUGUACCAUUUUUAAGAUGAAGAGAAAUGCUCUCAAACUUCAACAGCAGCAUCCUAUGAAUAUCAGAAUCCCCCAUUUUGACACUUGAUCUUUUUUUUAAAUAAUUCUGAGCAUGUUUGUUUGGGUAUUUUUUCUUUGCCUGGUGGUGUGUAAAUGUUCGGUUUUAAGCACCACUUCUCAGUGCCAGAUGUAAAUGUUUCCGUUUCUCAGAAAGAAUCACCAUGUCACCAUCCCAUACCUUCAGCAGCCACCCAUACUAGAUGACACCAAGAAGCACCUGUAUGCGCUUCCACUGACACAGCCCACAGACAGUGGGGGAAGCCAAGUGCCAGCCUGUCUCACUCUUAGUUUUCUCACUCACAACUACAAGGUGGGGCAUUUUGCCACAACCAACCUGCUGCUGCAGGGGCAGGCUGCACUGAAAGGGAGUCAGUGAGUUCUCACAUGCCUCCGCUCAUUCAUGCCAACUCUAGAGAUCAGGAUGCUGAUCUUUAGAGAUCCAUCUGCACCAGCAGGACAAGCUGGGGCAGAUGGAGCCCUCUGACCAUGCUCACUGACUUGCUAGGUGAGCUCCAUGAUGACCAAAUCCAACGCUACACAGAAAGCUGAAACCACUCCGGUUAGCGCCUUGCUGUUGGGAGUGCCAUAAGUAGUGCAGAAUUACAUUAUUAGCGAUUGCUUCUCUUCCUUCCUCCAGCCUAGAAGAAAAAUAUAUAUCUUGUCCCAGAAGAUCUAGUAACAGUUGACUGAACAGCUGUCAAAAAAAUAAAGAAAUCAACAUUUGGAGCUAAUAUACUAUGUAAACAUCUUCUCACUCCUAUACUCCAGGGGCUGCAGGAUGCUAGAUUAAGGAUAGAGCACAAAGACACUUCAGCUGAGUUUAGGGAAUAUAUUUAAGGAUGGGUGCUUCUGAAAACAUUAUGAUAAAUUUGUCUAGAUGAAAUAUUGAUGAACAGAUAUUUAUCUCUUGCCAGCCUUACAUUAAUAGCAUUGAGUUUUCCUAGCAAACAUAAAACUACAUCUUUCAGGCUUCCCCUUCAAUAGCUUCAGGGUUUCAGCACUACAGUGCAUAUGGUAACUGAACUACUUUUAAUGACCCAAUUGAGAACAUACUUAACAAAAUUAGUAUUUUCACUUCCAUUUAUUCAAAAAAGCAAGUCCAUCAACUUACCGCAUUAUGUGGCAGUUUGAGAUUGAUUAUUCAGGAUUUAAAACAUUUACGAAGACUGGCAAGAAUCAAUACCCCAGACACAAGUCUGAGCAUGCCUAUACCCAUGCUAUGGCUUGAACUCCAGCUAUUUCUACCCCAUUUAAACUUUACAGUGAUUUACACCUAUCCCUGGGAAUUCUCAAGCCAGAGCCAUGACUUCUCUGACCGCACACUGAAAAACCUGUCAGAUCAACAGAGCAUCAGGUUAACUUUCAGUUCAAUUCUUUACACCAGUGGGAUAUCACUUCUCCAGAGCACAAGAAUUUAACGUUUGGACUCCGUAGUCUUGGUCCUGCAGCCCUGCCCAGUCCAAUGCAAGCAGCAGCAAUUGCAUCACAGGUUACUGUCAUGGUCAGCUCUCCAAGACAAGGGGACCACCCAAACACCUGAAAAUCACUGUCCACUAUGAGGAUAAAGGGAAAAGCCAUGCCAGGCCCUCUGCUUUCAUGGAAACCUUAGGUGCUACACCAGCUGGCUGCAGCCUGCAGCAGUAGUAUUGCUGGGUCUCCUGCUGCUCCUUUCUUAAAAGCACUGGCUGGUCUCCCACCACAGGGAGCCUGGGCAGGACCUCAGCCAGUGGCACCAAAACCAGACAGAGAAGUGGAUGCCAUCCUGGAUUUGCUCUCCAGGUUGUCUGGGGAGAGUUAGUGCAAAUUCAGUGGCAAACUGCCAAUGACAGGUUUAGCUGGAGUAAAUCACGGCUUCAAGGAGGUUUUAGUCUUCCCCAUAACCACCUACUCUUCCCAAUUUCAUAAUACUGCUCUUUAAACUGCCAGAGCUGGCUUUAAACAGCUCUCAAACUGAGGCAGCCAGUAGAAAACUGUUCACUUUUUGAAGAUGUAAAUUCCUAAGAGGAAUGAGCAGCUCAGCAUGACCGAAAGGGGCAGCAGGAAGUCAGAUGUCCACUCUGUGACGGAACUGAAUCCCAGGGACCCUUCUCAGGUAAGCUCAGAUCUAUAUCACUGAAGGCUGCUUUUGCUAAUAAAUAUUUUUUGCUUCCCAGGUUCCUAUUAAUAAAGAAUCAUUGCCAUUUUCCUCUUUCCCACUUAGUUUUAACUGUCUCAACUUCACUACUGUUUAUAUACAACUCUAAAGCUGCAAAAGAACUGAUACACAAACAGUUUUUGCAGAAACUCUAAGCUUAGAGAUUCAUGUCAGUCUCUAGUAUGGUUUUCCUUAAGCUCUUCAGAUUCCAGCAAAUUCUUUGAACAAGAGAUGGUUUCUUGACUUUUGCUCAUUUCUUUCUAGUUCCUUUGGACUUUCACCAAUUAUUAAUUUCCAGUCUUGAAAUGCAGCCCCAAAACACAGCAGCAAUCUCAGGAAACUUUACCAGCCCCCAGCUGACAAAAAGGAUUAUUUUGGGUGUCUUGGGGCUAAAUUUCUGAUCCACUUGUGUGUAUAUGCAUAUAUACAAAACGUAGCACUCCCUCCCUGCAGGUAACUGCUGUUGCCACCGUAAUCACUCAGCUCUCUUAAGGCAUUGAAAAAGAUGGAAUGUUUAAACGUGGCAUUUAAGUAAUUAUGACAGCGUAAGUGAAUACCUAAAUGAGGACACAUGUGGAGACUCAAAUUGCCUUAGCAGUGAUUACUUGCAGCUCUUGCAAGUCCCUGGCAAACGUUAUUACAUAAAUUACCGCUAGAUCACAACUUGUGGACAGCUCUUGAAGUUCAAUAGCAACAUUAUUUUAAGAACAACAACACAGAAAUGAUGCAGUUUAAGGUUUAAAAAUAAUUGUGAAACAGGGACCUACUGAAUAACUGUAAAUUAUCUAAACUGAAUCCCAGUGAAGGGAAAGUUGUUCUAUUUAUAUUACAGGGUGUUUUGAUUUUGAAGACUUUUGUCCAAAUUUAAACAGACAAAAGUAGAAAAAUUUUAGAGUAACAACUGUCAGCACAUAAAGACCAGAUUUUUACUUGUGAAUAAGAUCUGUCUCUUUCAAAAUUAAAACUCUGAGGAAAUUACACACAUAAUGUGAGGUAGGCAAAUGUACAGAAAACUGCUGAAAUUUCAGUAACACAGCAGUGUCACAACAUGUGAAUAUGAAUUAAACUGCUUUUUGUAGACCUGGAGAAUUAAUAGGAGGUUAAGAGCAAAGAGCUUGAUUUCAGAGCCUUAAAAGAAGGGAAACAACAGGCUGUGGAAGGGUAAAUAGAUGCAAGUAGCAAUGAAAACUUGCAGAAAGAGGAUUGGUUUCAGGUUUUCUGAAGCAAACGAAAACAUUUGAUUAAAACAUUCGAGAGGACCUUAUAAUCCUACUUUGAUCAUAAUAAUGCUUUAUUGCUGAAUACAUAAUAUAUGUCUUUUUCUGGCCAAAAAAAACCAAACCCAAGCCAUAAAUCACAUUUAAAAAAAAAACAAAAACAAUGUGCAUUAAGAAGUGUGGUUGUAUCUCAGUAGUCACAGAUGUAUCAAGCACUACUAAGAAAUCAGACUUUGAAAUACCAGUAAGCCUCAGGAAGUUAAAGAGCUUUUGUUGUUCUCAGCUCAAUUUAUUUACUGUCCUAUCUGUUUGGAGGGGGAUUCACGACAUGCCAAUGAAAGCACGCCAAAAGCUUUACCCCAGAGACCUGUUUUGAGCAAUUAAUAAACAAACCAAAAGCAUAUCCAUGUAAAGAGUUACAACAUUCAUGAAAAAAAUCCACAAAUCUGUUCCUUAAAACUGAUGUCCAUUUUUGACUCAGAGGAAUGAAUACCUAUAACCUGAAAAAAAUGGUAAUAAAGUUGGCAGUUUUUAAAAUACUACCAGAUGUAAUUACAAACCCAAAAGGUGAAAUUCAUGAACUGACUGACAGACAGAAAAAUGGUCCAAGGAGAAAUGACACUGGAUAGUCUAACUAAAGCUAUCACUAGGUUAUUCAAAUAACCUCCAGGUUAGGCUUACUGAGGUAUUUCAGGGAGUUUUUAUGAAUGUAACUUUUCAUCAGUCUGUACUGCCGCUUUCCACAUAUUGAAUGCAGAUAAUUUACCCACUAUCACACCACCGAAUUAUGUGACCAGAGGUAAAACAUAGGCUACAUCUCUGACCUGCAUUAUAUCUCACAUUAUGAAGCCCAGUGUUAAAACUGGCAGCAAUGUCAGGACCCGCCCUGGCAUCCUCUAUUUAUUUAAACUAGAAACUCACACUAGUAGUGUAGAAAUACAGUAAUUAAAAUAAUAAAAUAUCUGAGAUCAAAUGUAUUUAAAGUCUUUACCAAUCAUUUCAGGUUUAAUUAUUUAUACUGUAGCUGGCAUAUUCAAUAACCAAAACAACAAAUAUUUUACUAAGCAGCAUAAAAUCACCAAUUACUGUUAAUAGCUAUGAUUUCAUAAGAUGGUUGAAGUGUAUUUUUUACCUACUGAUAGUAAAUGUUUAUAAAAAACAUUUUUUUGACUCAUGGCAGGGAACCAAAAAAAGUUAGAAUUCUUUGAAAGCAGUGAAUGGAUUUAAAUACAAGAUAAUGAUUGGGUUUCAGCUAUGGGCUUUGCUUUAGUUUACGAAGUAGUAGUUUGUAAAAGACCAGCUGCAAAAAUAAUAUCUGCUAGCUUUUAUUUUUAGCAUAUCAUAGUUGAAAAUUAGUACUUUGCUGUAACUACCACAUUGUACAAAUUACCCAUUUCAUCACAAUGUGCAUCUGAACUUUUUAAUCUGCCUCUGGAAACAGAACCAAAAAUUAAGUCCCCUGAGAAAUUUUCUUUUCCUUUAGAAUUUUGGACUGUUCAGAUCUCAAAAUCUUGUACUUAAGAAUGGACAAAAAGUGUAUAUAUAAAAAAACCUUUUAAGAUAUUUAUUAUUACUAAGAUAUUUAUUAUAACAAGAAAUUUGUUAUAUUGUAUACAGACCCACGCACUUUUAGCAUUCUGUGAUAUUACUACGUAAGGGUUUACUUUUCCAAGAAUAAAAUUCAUCAAUAUAGUAAAAGGAUAAAAGUUCAGAACUCCCCUCCUUUUGGAGUAUAGGGAAAUUCAAUUAAAUCUAUAGCAAUAUAGCCACUAUUUUAAUUCAAGAAAAGAUGAAGCUGAAUAGAAAAUCAGAUGUGAAAUGUUUAUGUUAUUUUCCUCUGUUCACAGAGCACUAAGUUGAGUAAUUAGAAAAAAACUGUUUGCAAAUGUAAAUACAAUGAAGCAGCCAUUAAUUAGCACAUGCAAAUGUAAGUUCAGAAAAUUGCUUAUUAUCUACAAUGUUCAAAAUGUUAACUUCUAUUUAUACAAAUGUAAAGAUUAUAUUCUGACUAAUUAGGUGUAAAUUUUAAGGAUAUGCAUUAAUCAUAAUUUGUCUUUGCAAAAAGGAUUAAUUAGUGUUUGCAAUAAGCAUAUGCAAGUGAAGAUUAACCAUGAAUCACACUUGCUCAAGUAACAGGCUAAGCGAAGUCAGCACCACUUCUAUAAAAAAAAAAAAAUAUAUUUUUCUACAAGGAGAACUACAUAACUUCAGCAUCAGUUCAGAAACUUUCAUAGCAACAAUAUAGAAAACGCAUGUGAUCAUGCCCCCACAAAAGGCAGUGCAAUGCACGUGGCUUAUUAUGAUGGACCAGAAUUCCCUGGUGGAAUGCUCUCAUUUUGCACACCCCAGGAUCCCAGGGUUCAGUGUGACCACUGAGAAAAGGUGAUAUAAUAUUCACUUCUCUCUGCCUCAGAAGUGACAGAGCUGAAUGCCCACACUGUGUCCCUCCAUAUCAGGCAUGGUUUCAUCACAAAACGGGGUCUGACCAGAACUUCAAUAAGGCACAAAAACCAUACAAAGCCAGAGCAAGGCAUAAAUUUUAAAUAAUUUUUUAAUUUGGAAAGCCAAACAAAGGAAGCAACAAGCAAUUUCCCCCCCCCAUUCUUAAAAUCUGCAAAUAGCUUUUACUUCCAUCUUGGCAUAUGCAUUCACAGGAACGGUACAAAAAAAAAA